rnacentral:lncRNA from 1 species
AUCAAUUCGCAAAAAAAUAAAAUAGAAAGUCAUAUAGUGAAGAAAAAAAUUAUAAUGAUAAAUUAUGUGACAUAAUUUAUAAUAAUAAAAAUUCUUACAGGAACAUGGGAGUCCCUAGCGUUUCUUUUUGGAUCAGUGGCAGAGAAGACAGUGUAGACAAGAACAAAGGUACCAAUAAUCUCAGCACCCAAAGCUGUACCUUUGUUGUAACCAUCAUGAACAAAGUUAGCACCACCUCCAUACCUGUCAAAGUAUGCUUUUUGGAAACCCUUUGCUAGUCCGGUACCGGAGAUCGCACCGGCACACUGCGCUGCCAUGUAAAACACCGCCCUCAGCAACGACACCUUUCUUCCUACGAAUAGUCCGAAUGUCACUGCCGGAUUUAUGUGCCCUCCUGGUAUCAUAAUUGAACACCUAAUUAAGCUUUAUAUACAAACAUAACAAAAUUUAAUAGCAAUUUAUUGUAAGAGGGAGAAUAAACAUACCAGAAAUACCAGCAGUGCAGUAAACAAGGAUGAAAAUCAUGCCACCAAAAGCCCAAGCAAUACCCAAAAUCCCAACACCAUCACAAUCAGUACCACCAGCUUUAGGAUCACUCUGAUGACUAUAACCAAUAAUGGUCAAAAUUGUGACAUAAAGGAACAAAAGUGUUGCUACAAAUUCAGCUAUAAGAGCUCUAUAAAAAGACCACUUUGUUAACUCAUCAAAAUCAAUCAAUGGUGCUGGUGGUGGAUCUUGGUAAUCUUUAGCUGAGAAUUCACCAUGUUCUUGAACCUCAACAUCUUUAGCCAUUGCUGCUUAAACAAAACUAUGUUUGUUUUUUUUUUAAUUUUCAAAGUGGGAUGGGAGAGUAGUGUGGGUUGAAUUGAGUAGAAAGGGGUGGUAUUUAUGUAACAAAUGAAAGGAAAAGGAAUCAAAUAUUUUUAAGUAUGUUUUUUUGUUCGUUUAUUGAUAAUGACAGGAUUAAAUUAAACGCAAUUUUUUUUGCCGUCCUACUUAGGUUGAUUUCGCUUGCAUGGUCCCACUUUAUUAGGACCCCAUUCCAACGGGACUUAUUGAUUUAUUUGCAUAUUAUUAUUAUUAUUAUUAUUAUUAUUAUUAUUAUUAUUAUUAUUAUUAUUAUUAUUAUUAUUAUUAUUAUUAUUAUUAUUUUAAUUUUAAUAACAAUAAAUCUAAAUGACUUGUGUCAGAAUGAGCCAGGCUUCAAGGUUUUCGAAGAUGUUAUAGAGAUUCUUACAAAUUAUUUAAUAUACAAUAGUAAUUGUAUCUUUUAAAAAUUAUAAUAAUAAUUCAAAAACUAAUUUUCAUUUUUAAAUGAAUAAAAAUUAGGGAUGAAAACAAAAAUAUUAUACAUUUAUUUUCAAUGAUUAAAAAUGUUGUUUUGAUGUUAUUAUAAUGAUAAUAAUAAUUAUUAUAUGGUGUGGUGUGGUCCAGUAUGACCUAAAAAGGUAGUUGUAUGCCAACGGCUACAUGUGAUUAUGGGCAAGUAUGGAAUUUGAAAAGGUGUUUUGUGUAGAUAGAUAGAGAAUUAUGAGGCAAACUAAGCAUCAACAACAGGGUGUACUGCUUUUGCUGUUCUGUCUCUCACUAUUUUGGCAAUUCAUAAUCAAUGACUGUGGUCCCAUCUGUUUUUUUUGUUUUCAUCCGUACUAACUAUUCAUUAAUCUCUAUUCCAUCGUAAAUUUGGUAACGUUUUAUCUCUAAUUGUUUUAUUACCAAAUAUUAAAUCUAGAUACUAGUUGAGUAUUUUUCUUUAGGUGGAACCGCAUUUUGCUAGUGUUUGUUUCCCUAAUUCUCUAUCUGGUCUUAUAAUUAGUGGUCGACAAUUAAGUCAUUUAAUUAUUUUAUUCAUAUUAUAAAAAUAUAUUAAUAAAAGAAAGAGGAAAUUACUGUGUAAUAUUAUAAAUGUAUAAUAAAAUAUAUUACAUUAUAGAUGAUAUAAAUAAUAUUAAUUAAAUAAUACAAUUAAAAAAAGUACAUUAAAAUUGAAAUAUUCAUUUAUUUUUAGAGAAAAAAAUUUCAACAUCUUAUCUUCAUGAGAAAAAAACAAUAACAAAAAUUCACGUUUACUUAAACUCUUCAUGAACCUUCAUGAGACAAAUUUUAAUGAUUAUGGUUUACUAUAUAACUGAUAUUUUAAAAAUAUUUAAAACUCUAAUUACCAUAAAUUUUAUCUCUUAUAAAUAAAUAUUAAUGAUUAUUUUUAUUUUUAUGAAUCAUGAUUAAGAUAAUAACUUAACGGAUAUUAAUUCGAUAAAAAAAAAAUAAAUGUUUGUCUCACAUUGAAUCAAUUUUAAUCAAGUUAUUGUUUUAUCAUUAAAAAUAUAAAAAAUCAUAAAUAUUAAUUAAAAAGAGUAUUUAUUAAAAAAUUUAAUAAUUUUUAAAUAUUAAUGAAUGAUCUUGAUCAUUCAUUAAUGAAUGUAUAAUUUCCCUCGAUCUUAUAUUCCAUUGUAUAUGGAACUAAGGCUUUGCUUGUGCACCAGCUAGUUAGGUAUCGCAUUGUGCGUGAGGUCUCUUAUUUAUUGGAUCAAAUGUCCUACAAUAUUAACUAUGGAUGAAGCAUAGUGGGAAGAAGAGCGUUAAGAUAGAAAAUACAUUUUUCCAUUGUUGAAAGAUUUUUUUAAUGUAUUGAGUUCUUGGUUAAAAUUGUAUUGUUCUUAUCUAUGAUGUUUACUUUUUGGAAUUUAUUUUUAUUUUUUUCAAUAAUUUUUGUACCCAUGGAUAUCAUACAGGGUGUACAAAAUCCAAUUCGUUCUGCGAAUUCGACUUAAUUUGCAAGCAACAAGUUGGAUUUGAUUCGAUAAUAAAAUAAAAACAAAAAAUAAAAUUAGGAUAGGAACAAAGUAAAAAAAGAUCCAGUUCAGGUCAUCCUAUGCGUUAUUCGUCCAGUCUCAAAAUGCAUUAAGGACAAAUAAUUAUUUUUAUUUUAUUUUAUUAUUGAUUCAAUUACACUAAUUUUAUUUAAGGUUUGAAAAAAAACUUAUUUUUCCUAUAUCUUUUUUUCUCCCUGCAAUUGCAUAUUCACUUUUCUUCCUUAUUAUUAUUAUUAUUAUUAUUAUUAUUAUUAUUAUUAUUAUUAUUAUUAUUAUUAUAAAACAAUAUUGAUUAGAUAUUACUUUUGAUUAAAGAGUAAGACUACUAAGUGGUAUAUAUUUAGUAAAUAGUAAAAUAUUUAUUUUGAUUAAAUGAUUUGUAUUUUGUAAGAUAAUGUUAUGAAUUACAAAUUGACAAGUAUUAAAGUGAUUUACUAUGUCUAUGAAUUAUUAUUUUUUUUUUUUUUUAAAUUACUAGUUGACAAAUUAUCUUGAAACCAACCCAAUCUAAAUUCUGUCUUAUUUUUGUAUGUUUUUAUUAAACCUACAACUAAUUAAAUCUAAAAAUAGAUCAAAUCAAAUAUUAGAAUAAUAUUAAGAAUACAGGAAACUCGACAUAACUGUUAUUUAUACGCCCCUAAUAGCAUUCGAGAGAAAUCAAGAAUUCCUAUGAUGUUACUGGUCUGUGGACUUUUUCUUGUCUAACGAAGAAAAUUCCUUGAGUAUAGUGCGAGACUUAAUUCAUUCGUACACCCUAGACACUACCUGGAACUAAAUAAUAGCAUAAGAUAUAGUAAUAUAAUUUGAGUUAAAAUAUAUUUUUUAAACAUUUUAAUUUUGGUAAAAUAAAAAAAAUAAAAAUAACAUCCUUAUGUAGUUUUAAUUUUUGUGAUAAAGUCAACAUAUAUUUUUUAAUAAACUUUUGCAAGCAAAUUUACUACAAUAUCUAACUUUCCUCCACCAAACAUAGCUCCAUAUUCAAUUUCAAAAUUCAUAUGUUUAUUUACUUUUCUCUUUAGUUUUGUACAUUGAAAAACUUUAUAUUUAUUUCAAUCCAAGUUAAAAAAUUAUAAAUGUAUUUGGAGAAAUUUUUUAAAUGUUUAUAUAUAAUUGCAAAAAAUUAUAAAUGUCAUAUUUUAAUUAACAGUAGUAACACAUAACAGAGAGGAUGAUUUUCUAAUACAACACUAAAUAAAAAUUAAAAAUAGAGACAGCACAUACCCAAAAAAAAUAAAGAUAACACUAAAUAAAAAUUAUAGAGAUAUUAUAUUAAAAAGAAAAGGGAGAAAGGGAUCAUUAAUUAAUUGAUCAUAUAUAAGAUGUUUUUCUUCUUUCCUUUUUAUGUUAUUUCUCGAACAAAAUUAAUUCUAUAUAGUUGUUGAAUAUGAAUUAACUCUUUUUUUAGAGAUGCAUUUGAAAUGCGAGUUUUACUUAAGAGCAUCUCCAAAUAUGAACUCAACUCAACAUAAGGUUUUUAGAUGGGUUCACUGUGCCACAUCAUUUUGGAGCAACUCAUCACCUGUUACUCCAACGGUGAACUCAACAUGAGUUCAUUAAAUAGGACCCAAUAACUAUUAUAAAUUUAUUAUUAUUAAUAAAUUAAUAAAUAAAAAAGGUAACAGUUAUAAUUUUAUUAUUAUUAAAUUGUGAAAGUAUCGUUCCUUCCUGAGAGCACCGUGAUGACAGCUUGGUGCAACUCCAACCGUGAACUCGCCAAGAACUGAAAGUUAUGUAAUUUACACGCUGGCGGACGAACUCAUUUGCCUACCGUUGAAUAUGCUCUAAGUCUGUCGUGUUACAACCCUGGUCGUAAACUUCGGUUCGAAGUGAAACAUGUAACAUCCAAGUUAGUGGCUAAGAAAUGUUAACAUAUUAAAAUAGGAAGCAAUUAAGAUAUAUAUAUUAUCCUAAAAAAAGAAAGUUAUCACAAUGAUUUUCAAUACUGCAAUUAUGAUUAAUUAAUUUUAUUAGAAUAAUUAAAAGUAGGUUAGUUGUUGUCUUCCUUGCAUGACGAAGGCGUGCCAGAAUAACUUAUCUGGACGCCCUUAAAUCAAAUGGGUUUUGGACACCCUGCGGCUUCAACACAUUAAUUAUCCCUCACCACCACUUAUUUUAAUUGAUUAUAUAAUUUAUUAACUAAAAGUUACUAAUUUAAUUAAAUCUUAUGUCAGAUCAUCUCAUCUUAUACAUAAAAAAAAGAAUUAAAAAAAUUGAAUUAACGGUAUUUAAUGUAACAUAUCUUCUAUUGAUAUAUAAUAUUAUUUGUAUUUAAAACUAAAAAAAGUGCAAUUUGAAAGUAGUUUCGCAUAUCAUUGUAUUAUUUAUCCAUUAACAUUUCGACCAUAUAUACCCACCACAAAACAUAGACAAACGAACAAAAAGAAUGUGCAUAUUAUUUGUCUUAUUUGAUAAGCUUUUAGGAAUUCCUAAAAAAACCUAAGAAAAGGUGCCGUGACAAAAGCCACUUCCACCCACAAGAAAAAUUCUUGACCUUAUUUUUAUUUUUUAAUAUUUUCUCAUGAAUUUUAUUUUAGCAAAAAUAAAAUUAAAAUAAAUAUUAUUUUUAAUUUUCAAUAUAAAUUUAAUUAUUUUUCUACUUUUAAAACAAUAAUUCCACUUUACUUUUUAGUAAAGAAAGUUUGUAAAAAUAAUUAUUCAAUUUCUUCUAAUUUUGAAUCAUUGUAUUUUUUAAUAUGUCGAUAAAAAUCUUAAACAUUUAUUUGAAAAUGGAAGGUAUAAAUGUUGUUCAAAUUUCUAACAUGUCAUAUGAGAGUUUUAACUUUCAUUAAUUUUCAUUUAUAUAUUCAAAUUCAAAUAGAGGACAGACCAUUGAGUGGAUCCCUUCUCAAGUGAGAGUCUACUUCAAUUAAAAGAAAAACAAAACAAAAAAAGAAACAAGCAAGUUAGUGGAUAAGAUGGGAUUUAACCCGAGUGCGAUAAUACCCUGUCGUGUGCAUUGGGUGAGAGCGUGAGAAUGGAUGUAGAUAUUCUCCACUCUCUAUCCCUUUCAUUAAUUUUUUUUCUCUUAUAUAUUUUCUCUUUCUUCAAUUUUUUAUUCUCUUCAUUUCUCUCCACAAUUUGGUGGAGAAGAUCCAACUAUGUGUAAGAAUAGUGUUACUGCAAUUAAUAGAGUAGCAUACUAAGAAAAGAAUAAUUAAUUGGUACUAGUGGUGGAUGUUGGUUAAGUAAACGUUGUUUGUUUUUGCUGAAAUUUUAGUAUGUCAUUCUUGUCAACGAAUUUGUUAUUCUAAUAACUUUUAGGCUAAAUUAUAUUUUUAUUUUUAGGUUUUACUUUAAUUCCUUAAAGUUUUUUUGGUCACAUAUGUUACAAACGAUAGACAUUUUGGUCCCUUAAGUUAAAAACAUAAAACAUUGGUCUCUUAAGUUAUAAAAAUAAACAAGUUUGAUCACUUAAGUUACAAUGUUAGACACUAUUACAAAAGAUAAAAGUAUAAAAUGUUUGGAACUUAAAGGACUAAAAUGAAACGAAAAUAACUUGAAGACCAAAGUGUCUAACAUUUGUAACUUAAGCAGCCAAAAUGAAAUGAACUAAACUUAAGGGACUAAAGUGAAGCCUAAAUAACUUAAAGGACAAAAAGUGCAAUUUAACCUAAUUUUUAUAAGUAGUUUUGUCUUCUCUAUGAAUCAAUUUGUAAUAGCAACUUUUAUGGAGGUGCUCUAUUAUUGUUUGAUUACUAUCGUUAAGUGAUGAUUUUGGUUUUCUAAUGUUACUUAUUUUUAAGUCUAAACACUCGUGAUUUUUACAUUUACUCUAAGGAGUUUUCCACAUUAAAUUUGAGAAGUCAUAUUCAUAGUUUUUAACUCAUUUAUUGUUAUAAUUACUAGUAUCGGUGUUUCAUUGGUAAUUUUUGAGUUCAUAUUGAAAUAGCAAUGUCAAUCAUAAGAAAAUGGGGGUUUAAGUUGUGAUCCUUUUAAAAUUUUGAUUCAUGUGCUUUAAUUUAAAUUAACUCAAGAUCAAUUUUGGUUGAAACAAAAUGUCCAGAAUAUUCUAGGUAUGCUAGAAGUAAAUGAAACAAAUUAAUGAAGAGUGAUUUGUGUGUGCAAAAAAUUAAAGAUAAGGAAUAGAAAGAUCACACACAAAAAGUAUAUUGGUUCACCCAACUCGAAUUAGUCCAACCCCCACAAUUGUGAGAUUUUCACUAUAUGCUUCAGAACCAAAAUGUUCUCCUUCACACACUUUUUCUUGAUCAUACCUUGAUCAAUUACAAUCUUCAUAUUUCACCCUAGAAAGAAUUUUGACAGUCACCUUUCAAUAUAAAAAUGAUUUUUAAAUGCACAUUCAAUCUAACAUUAAAGAUAGACAUGAGUUACAAAUUUUGUGCAUGAGAAACAUGUUUGGGAUCUUGAAACUUCUUAACACUUGUUUGAGAUGAUUAAUGAUAAACUCAAUAAAUGAUGAUCCACAAAGAUAGUGAAGAGAGCUGGAGUUUGCUUGAAGAAUUUUUGACUUGUUCUUACUUGAACAAGUGUUGGUAUAUUUAUAAAUUGAACUUUUGCCUUAAUUUUCCAAUUGAUCUUCAAUUUAUAGAUGAUAAAAAGAUUUUAAUAUUUAGUUUAAACUGAAUAUAGUCGUUGAACACACUUCUCAAGUGUCAGACCUAUUUUAAAGCAAUUUAAACAUGUGUUUAUAUUAUUGUCCAGUCCAGAACGUUCUUGACAAAUGAAGAACGUUCUUGCUUCUGGGUAUGAUGGAAAAUGUGAAUGAGUGAGUGAUGGAUUGUGAAAUGUUAGUUGGUAUUGUUCUAAAUCAAAAUUAUCCAGAGUUUCUACAGAAUAAUGUAAGUACAAUGUACUUAUGUCGUUGCUCAUAACUCAUCAAUUUGGAGAUAAAUGUUGUAAUCAAUUCAGAGGUUGUUUUCCUCCUUUGGGCAUUCAGCUCGAAUUUUGAGGUUCACCAUUGAUUUCAGCAGUCAGGGUAUUCUUUAAAUUCUGGUUUAGACUGUGAAAAAUUAUUUGUUUUAAUUAUGUCUUUAAAAUAGAAUAUCCAGAAUACUCUUUUGUAAAACUAGAACGUUCUUUGUUUUCUGUUGUAUGGAAAGUGUGGAUGGAUGAUUUGAUAGAUGUUUAAUGUCAGUCCUUUGUCUAAGAAACAUGAUGUACUUUCUGUAAAAAUGUGCAGCAGAAAUAUCCUUAUUGUCCUAGUUGUUAUUACUCAUAGUUCAUCAAUCCAAAUAUUGAACUUGAUGUUGUUUGCUUCUUUGGGACUUUAGCUAGACUUUUUGGGCUUGAGUUUUGUUUCGAGUAGUCUUAACAUGUGUUUAUCUUAAGGUAUGGACUAUGAAAAACAAUUCUUUUUACUUCUGCCCAUAAAUGAAAUAGCUAGAAUGAUCUUGAUAAUAAACCAGAAUGAUCUUUCUUUUUUCACAUUUCUAUUUUUAAUAAACCAAAAUUAUCUUCAUUUUUUAGACUACUGUUUUUUAAUAAAUCAGAAUGAUCUUCGUUUUUCCAUAAUUCUAUUUUUAAUAAACCAGAUGAUAUUCGUUUUUCAUACUGUUGUUUUUUAAUAAACUUGUGUGAUCUUCGUUUUUCUAAUUUAGUUAAGACAUAAUUUGCUUUGAUUUAUAACAUGAUGUGAUCAUUAAUUGUUAUAUGAAUGUAUUUGAUCAUAUUCUUCAUGAAGCUGCUACCUUGAAGAUGUAAAAAUCAUUCUCUUGAAUGAUUGAUAUAUGAUAUAUUAUUUUUUAGAUUCUUUCAUUAUUGAGUAAAUACUUAUGCACUUUGAUGAUAUAAAUGGUUUCUUGCUUGUUCACUUAUGCAAUUCGUGUUUCUUAAAUAAAAUUCAAGUGCAAUCAUUAGUAGAUCACAAUUCAUAAAACUUAAUCAUUUGUUUCGUAAGGUUUAUUAUCAUUAAAAAUUAUAUUAAAAAAGUUUUUACCUCAACACAUAUUCCAUAAGAAAAGUUAAUUUAUGUUUCAAAUAUUAUGUUGUUCGCUUUAGUCCUAAGAGAAACAAAAAAAGGCAUUGAUCUAAGGAUCACUUCUUUGCGUGUUACAUGUUUAUUUCUUCUUAGCUAAUAAUUUUGAGUUUAGAUUUGAAUCUUGAAAAGACAUCAAUAAUUGAAUUCUUAAGAGAGAGUUUUAUAAUUUAUGUAAAUAUUUCAUCCAACUCGAGAAAUUGAUCUAUGAUAUUUUUAUUCAAAAAUAUUUAUAACAUCAAUCAUAUAUAUAAUUGAAUUUAUUCUAAUAUCCUUAUUUCGUUUGUUGACAUCUAUUCAAAAUUAAGAACAUAAUAGUCCAACACAUCUCUUUAUCUAUUAUUCUAUCUAUUAAUUGCUUUGACACAUUUCUUUAUCUAUCACAUUGUCUUUUAAUCAAUAAACUAUUUGUUUUAUCUCCCUUUUUGCCUCCUUUUUUCAUUACAUUUAUCCGUUUCAAAUAUUUCUCACUGACACUCACAAAAAAGACGGAAGAAAUAUUUUCUAUUGAUACUUAAAAAAAAAUGGGACACAUAUUUGUUAUCAAUAAAUAUAUAAAAGCACGAGAUACAUAUUUUUUAUUUGUCUUAAAUAUAUAAAAAAUAUGAGACAUAUAUUAUUCACUGAUAAAUAUUUUUAAAAACAUGAAAAAAAAACAUUUAAAAUCAAUAAAUUUUAAAUAAAUAAAAAACAUGACAAAUAUUUGUCAUUACAGAAUAAAUAUUUGUCACAUAUGCAUAUAUAAAAGCAUAAGAUAAAUAUUUAUAUGCGAUAAAUAAAUAAAUUACAUGACGCAUAUAGGUUAUUGAUAUAUAUAUAUAAAAACAUGACACAUAUUUAUAAUUGAUAAAUAUAAAAAAAUAUGAAAAACAAUAUUUGUAUUUGAUAAUCGAUAAAUAUAAAAAUAUGAGUCAAAUAUUUGUCAUUGGUAUAUAAAAACAACAUUUGACGAAUAUUUUGUCACAUAUGUAUACAAAAAAUACAUGAUAAAUAUUUAUUACUGAUAAAUAUAAAAAUAUAUGACAAAUAUAAGUUAUUGAUACAUUAAAAAAAAACAUUGAAUGCAUAUUUAACAAUGGUAAAUAUAAACAUAAACAAAUUAAACAUAAAAAUACUUACAAUAUUUACAUAUAUCCAUAAUUAUCCAUUUUACUACUUCUAAUAUAUGUUGGGCUGAGAAAAUUCACCUUGAAUAUUCUACAAUAUUUUUAUAAAGACUAGUCACUACUCAAUUACAUUUAUUUUAUUUUAUUUUUUUGAUAAAAAAGGAAAUGGUAUUGAUUUUAUUCAUAUUGGUAGAAUACAUUAGUUACAAACACAAAUUAAUCAUCUUAAAAAAUAAAAAGGAUAAAUUUAUGAAUAAAUUCACAAUGCUUAAGUUAAUAGCAUAAAACGACACAAUAUAUAAUGUGAUAAAAUUCAAGUGGUCGGAAUAUCCAUGCAUUUGGAUAUGUGAUGACCUAGUUGAAUCAAACAAACACCGCAACAACGAAAAGUUAAACAAGGGUGAUUCGGGGUCAAAAAAUUAUUCAAUGCCACACUUCUUUCCGAUGAAUGAAGAAAAGAAAACUUAGAGAAAAUGUGAAGUUUGUCUCUCAAAAAGAUUAGGACCGACCUGACCUGAGAUGACUAAACUACUAUAGAUAUUUAAUACUUAUAACACGAUUAUUAUUAAUAAUAAUAAUAAUAAUAAUAAUAAUAAUAAUAAUAAUAAUAAUAAUAAUAAUAAUAAAAACUAGAAUUCUCCGUCUAUUCAAAAUCUUAUAUACAAGAACAUUUUUGUACAAAAUUCAUAUAUGGUGUUUAUACGUUGGUUUACUUAAUCGUGAUAGUUUACAAGACUUUUAGGGUAACUUCGGUGACAUAAUUGAAAAAUAUAUAGAAAUAUAUUUCCAAGGCAUAUGGAGAGGAACAUCUUUUUUUUACUUUUUUUUUCAAAAAAUUGUAAAGGAAAUAUAAUUAAUGAAAAAUUACUGAAUUUUACGCUUGCAUUCGCAAAACCUCCACGCAUAAACAAAUAAAUUAGAAUCACCUAAGACCAAAAACAAAUAUAGAAUCGCCAACAAUUAUUGUAAGCCUCGAUUGAUCACGAUUCUUUAUAGUAAGCAGUGAUGCAUAUAACAUAUCUCAUGCUGACUAAUUUUAUUAUGGGACCAAAAUAGUCGGUCCUCUUUACAGAUCAGUAAUUGGAUUAGAAAUACAGAGUGGCCUUAAUUUUCCAACCACUCUCUUGACAUGGACUGGUAAAUAAUAAUAUUUCCUUCCUUUAUAAAUAUAAAAUUUUAUUAAUCAUGAUAAUUUAAUUAAGAAAGUGGAUUAUAACAUAAAUUUAUUAGAAAAUGAUAUUAUUUUCUUAAUUUAUAUUUAAAGGGAGAGAAAAAAUUAAUUAAUAUUUUUUAUAAUAAUAUUUAUUAUUAAUUAUAAAAAAGGACACAAAUUAAUUAUUAGUAUGUUGAAAAAAAUAAUUGAUGUCGUUGAAAAUUCAACCAAAUUAUUAAAAGAAAAAAAAAACUCAACACAAUCUUAAGUUUAAGGAUAGUUUUAACACAAUUAAAUUAUUUAAUUAUUUUAUAUAAAUAAAAAAUAAAGUAAUCUAACUUUCUUGUUGAAUAUUAAUACAUUAUUAAUAUAAUAAAUAUAUAAAAAUAAAUAUUAUAUUUUAAAUAGUGGAAAUCAAAAAUUGAAAUAAUUAAUUAUUUUAGGAUAAUAUUUUUUUGAAAAUGGAUGAAUUGUUUUUGAACCAUUAUUAUAUGUUUGUGAAUAUUGUGAUGUGAAAUUUGGGGUGAAAAAUAAUUAGGAAUUUUAAUCACUUCCAGAGGCAUCUCGAUCUCAUCAUGAAAUUAUAAUGCGGAUAUAUUAUUCGAUAAUGAGUAUGAUGACUGAUUUGUGAUCGUCAUUAAAAUGUAGACUUUUUCGAAUACAGAGUGUGAAUGUUAUGGCUGAGAGAGCACCAUGUGUUUAUUAUAGAGUAUUAAGUGAUGGAUAAAUAUAAUUAUAUUUUUUUUAGACGGUGUUACAUGACAAUGACUACUUGCACUGGACGGUGGCUGCCUUCAAAGUUAUGAGAUUUUAUAUUGAAUUCAUGAUCUUAAUUUUGCACUUUAGUAAUGGUUGAUAGUGCUCAUUCAAACAAAAAUAAGUUAUCUGAAUUUGAGUUUAUUAUUCAAUUUUAAACUUAAGAGAUAAAAUAAAUGUUAUUGUCGAUACUUUGGUUAAGAUAGUCACAUAUUUAUCUGGUCUCAUAUUUUUUAUUAUCUCUAUUAAGUUGAAUUUUGAAUUAUAUUUUAAGGAAAGAGUAAAUUAUUAAAUUUGUUUAUGAACUUAUAGUAUUUUUAAAUGGGUAUAUGAGAUUACACAUAUUUCAAAAAUAUUUUUAAAUAUAUUAAAUAAUAUUCAUAUGAGUUAUAUCUCAAUAAAUAUGUACAAUUAAUCACUUAAUAUCAAUUAAGAUCGAAUAUAUUAAUUUUUUAUUAUUAAUUUGAUCUCUAAAAUUAUUAUUGAAUUCGUGAAUGAAACAAAAUUGAUCAUUGACAAAAAGAAUGAUGAAUAAAAUGUAACAUAAUUAAAAAUAUGUUGGAAUAUUCACAGUAGCAUAAACUUAUUUGAGAGAGUGUUAUAAAAUGACAAAGUUGUUGGCUUGUUAAAAAAUAAUAUGAAUUGUUUUUAAUCCAAAGAACAAAGAUUUUGCACUUAGUAACAUUGUCAUUAGGGUGAGAAUAGGUCAGAUCAUGUCAGACUUUGAAAGAUAUGAUUUUGGCCAACGAUUAAUUUUGUAGAUAUAAGUCUGGCAUACGGCUUAUCCUAGGUUUUUUUUUUUUUUUGCCUUUUUAAAAGUAUGGUCUAGCUUGAAAGUCUAUUUAAAAGUCUUAUUCACAUUAAAAUAUUUAAAUGUUAUAUUUUAUAUUCUUUUUAAAUAGACUAAAUUAUGGUUUUAUAUAAAAGAUAAAUUAAUAAAAUUAUAAUCAAAUCUAAUAAAAUAAUAAGUAACAAGUAUGCAAUGCAACAACCUUCCAAGAAAAUAAAAAAAAUAAAAUGAAUCCAUAAUUAGUCCUUAUACACAUAUCAAACUACAUGUUCUAUCCAUACCAAUUUACAUGAUCCUCUUCACGUAUCAAUACUAAUGUACAUAUCUAUAUAUAUUAAACAAAAAAUGAUUUAUCUUACAAAAUGAUUUUAAAAAUAUCUGAAACAAACACAUUUUAAACUCUAAAAAAUGAUUUUUUAUUUCAAAGAAUAUAUUUUUUCUGAAACAAAUGUACUCAUUAUUACGUCUCAAACAAAUAUGAAACGACUACUGAGUGAUUGCUUAAUUGAACGGCUACCGAAUAUGGAACCACUACCAAAUAUGAAAUCAUUGACGAAUAUAAAACGGCUACCGAAUAUGGAACGACUACUGAGUUAUUGCCUAAUUGAUAUAAUUUAAAAUAGAAAAUAAUAUUAUUAAUAAAUAAUAAAAUUUAUAUAGGUCGACAAGUUAAAUAGAUUCUUUUUAGCUUAAUAUUUUUAUUAAAUAGGUCACGUCAGAUCAAUCCAUAAAUAAAUCAGGUCAUAGACUUUUGACGGACGAUGUAGUCUAUUUCCAUCCAUGAUUGCCAUAUGGCUAAUGAAUCGGGCGUGUGCUUUUGUAAAAGGCAAAUUGUUUGUUGAGUAACCAAUACAUGACUCGCAAAUUAGAACGCAUGAAAUAAAAGCUCAUACAUUGAUGUGAUUAACAGCGCACUUGCAUAUUUGUAUGUUUUCAUAAUACUAUACAGUGACAGUUCUUAGAGACGAAGAAUGGGUCGCCAUGGAUUUUUUAUUAUUAGUUAGUGUUUGUCAAGGCAAUUUCACUACAGUACACGAAAGUAAUGGGUAUUGAACACAAUCAUUUGUAUUCUUGGGCUUAUACGACUAUAUUGUCCAAGCAUGCCAUAGUAAAAUAUGAAUUUUCUAUUCUGCACCCCUCUUUUUAUACUUGUCAUUCUCCCGAAAUCAUCUUAGCUUUUAAAUUUUUCAAAAUAUUUGAAACUAAAAAGUAAGUGAUAUUUUUAAAAUUUCGAAACUUUCGAUAUAGAAAGUUUUUAGAUUUUUCAAAAUUCUCGAAAGUUUCAAAGUUUCGAAAUAGAACAAUUCGAAACUUUUGAAAUGGAAAAUUUUCAAAUUAUUCGAAACUUUUGAAAGUUAUGAAAUUUUCUAAUUUUUUCCAAUUUUUUAAUUAUUGAUAUAAUAAUUAUGUUAACUUAAUAUUACAGUGCCUAAAACCAGAGGUAGGAAAUUAUUCGUAUUAUCGCCAGAGGUGUUGGGGGCGAUAGAGGUUGUAGAGGCGAUAUAGCCGAUAAAGUUCCACUCACGACAUCAUAUUAACAAAUGAAUGAAGCAAAUCGUCAACAUCGUCGUAGACAUGGUUUUAGAUUUCAUUACCUUGGCGAGGAUGUUUAUGAGUCUGAACAAGAUGCUCAUGAGCAUGAACAGAUGGAUUACGAGGAACUGGAGUAGCAGUACGUUGAAGACAUCGAAUACCAGGUUCAGCAGCCCGGAUUCCUCGGAGGACCAUUGACGACAUUCGUGUUGACACAGUAUGAACAUCAUGUGGCUCGUACGAUAUAGGAAGGAGAGAGAGAUUUUAAUUAAUUAAUUUUUUAGUACAUUUUUUCAAUGAAAUUAUAUUUAGUACAGUUUUUCAAUGAAAUUUAGUAAAUGAUUUUAUUGUUAUGUUUUUUAAUUACUCGUAGGAUUGUGACCCGUUGAAGGAGGUCACACAUGUACGAGAUGUUGUACAAUAUUAGAUUUAAGAAUAUGGACUAGUACAUUUUUAUUCAGCUUAUUUGACGAUGGAUGAUGUUGGUCUGAUAUCUGCAUUUGUAUAAUUAAUUUCUAUUAUGAUAUCAAUAUUUUGUGUGAUCUAUGCCAUAAGUAAAUGAUUAAAAGUUCAACUUUAACUUGAUACCAAAAAAUAAAUACAAUUGUUUAAAAACAUCUCACAUAUGUACCAAUCUUCAUCCACUUAUCUUUUUCUUAAGCACACAUACUAGAAAUCUUCAAUGAGUUUCGUACUGUUUCAACGAUGUCAUCGAAUACAGGAAUAAAUAUCUUGAUGUAGAUUGAUCUCUUUAUCCAAAUUUGUUCGAACUAAAUGCCAAGAUUCUUCGGUCUAACCUAAUAAUAUUGCAAUUGCGCGAUAACCACAAUUUCCAUCAAGCACAACAUCUAUACUGUCCUCAAUAUAUUGAUGAAUAAAAAUAGAAAAAUGUAUCUUAGAUGGUUGCUUUGCAAAUUCUUAAGAUGGUUGCCUUGCAAAACGCUAAGAUGAUAAAUUUGCAAAACUCUAAUAUGGUUGCUUUGAAGAUUCUUGAGAUGGUUGUUUUGCAGAAUAUUGAAAUGGUUGUUUUAGAGAUCCAUGAGAGGCAUCGAUAUAGUCCCUAUAUGAAGGAUCACGAGGAGCUUCAAAAAAAAUUCUCUUCAUAUGACAAUCGUUCUUAGAGGUUUGAUGAACAUAUGCAAUGAUCCAAGUUGUAUCUGAAUUGAAAAAUUGCAUUGUUUCACAGUUGUAUUCGACUACAGCAUGAGUGUAGUCGAAUACACCUCUAUAACAUUCAGUUUUAUUUGAAAAUUUUAACCUUGUAUUCGAAUACAACACAUUGUAGUCGAAUACAAAUGAUUGAAUUUUGCCACUGGCUUGGUUUUGUAUUCGAGUACACUAUGUUGUAGUCGAAUACAAAAGUGCAGUUUUAGCUACUGACUUAAGAUUCGUAUUCGGCUACACUAUCUCGUAGUCAAAUACAUAUAUUCAGUUUUUGCUACUAACUUGAAUCUGUAUUUUGCUACAAUAUAUUGUAGUCGAAUACAACUUAGAUUUUUGUCAAAAACUUGAUUUUCAAACAUUAUUCAUUCGUUUUGACAUUUUGAAAAUUCUUUUGAUACAAAUGCUAAAAUGAAAGGUUCUUGUGUGCAUUUGAAAUAUAAUAAUAUUAGAUUGCAUCAUGUACCUUAUUAUAAGACUUAUAGCAUAUUGAUCAUAAUUGACUUUAUAGUUGACUUCUUUUUUAGUUUGCAACUUGAUCAUUUUCCUUGGUCUUUGUCUUCAUAAAAAACAUAAGUGUUUUACAAAAAGUACUUGUUGGAUAUUGUAUUCCCUAAAUGCAUCAAAUUGUGACCCAUCAAAUUGGAUAUUGUAUUCCACAAAUCUUUAACAUAAUCAACAGAAAGGAUAAUAUCGUCACACACUAGCUCAAAUUGUUGCAAGUGAUUAUCAUACUCCUCCACACUAGUUAAAAAUACAUUUUUUUUCCUUAAAUCCAUUACCAGAUCUUGUUUAUCCUUUUUCACAUAUUGUUUGCAUUUUACCCUCAACAUUUUUUCAAUAUGAAAACGAUAUAGCAAAUUAAUUGAAGUAGGAAUUAAAUUCAAUUGUCUUAUAUACGAACAAUUGUCUUAUAUCGGUCACAAUAACUUUAGAAAUUAAAUUCACAUAUACAAACAAUUGUCUUAGCUUUUCGAAUGCCCUUGUUUUAAGUAAGCAAAUGCAACAAAAAAAGGUCAACUUAGUAGAUGUACACCGACAAUUUCAAGUAAUGGUAGCCGAUAUCUAUUUGUUUUGUAUGUGUUAUCACAUAUCAAAACAAAAUGAAAAAUGUUCAACAACUUUAUACAAUCAAGAUGCGUUCAAAAUAUGUCUCUCAGAACAUCUAAAUCAUCUCAUGCACAUAAUUUUCAUUUUGUAUUAACUUCAAGUGAUGAUGCACUUUUAUGUACGAACCUCUCAAAUAUGAUCGAUAAGUACUCCUUGUUUUAUAUAUUUGAGUGGAAAUUGUGAGAUUCUAUUUAUUUCUCUCUUUCAAAGCAUUCAAAAUGAAUUUUGGUGCAAACUUAUAUUUUGUCAUGUCAUUAACAAUUUUUUUUCAUCUUCAUUUAAACGCCUCAAAUAUGAAUGUUCAUUUAAAGUAUCCACUAAAUCAUGAUGGUGUAUUCCGCAACAAACACUAAUUUUUUAUCUUUUACCGAUACUAUACAUUUGUGUUUGAAUCGAAUGGUGAGUAUACAUUUGAGUUUGAAUCGAAUGGUGAGAAUUACUAUUCCAUUUUGCCUUCCAAUAAUUUUUACUUUAAUCUGCAUCUCAAGAGAAAAAUAUCUACAAAAUAUAUUUCAAAUAAAAAUCAUUAUGUCUAUACAUUAAAAAAUUAUAAAAUCAAUUGUAGAUUAUCCAAUCAAUUCUAAAGUUAUCUAUAUAAUCAAUAUUGUAGCAAAAACUUCACUAUCAACGGUAUUCAUAUCUAAUUUAAAAAAUAUACUAAAUAUAAUUAAUACUUAUAUUAUAAAUACAAUAUUUGUGAUAAAAAAAUUUAACUAAUUUUAAAAAAUAUUAGUGCAUUUCAAAACUUUCAGCAAAACUAAAAAUUGGAAAUGUUUCGAAAUGUAACUUUUUUUCAAAAAGUUGAUUUCUAAAAGAAAAUCGAUUUCUAAAACAUAAAAAAAGUUACUUGUUUCGAAACAUUGAAGUUUCAAAAAAAUCUAAAUAAAUUUACUUCAAAAUUUUAAAAUUGAUCUAAAACACGGCAAAGAAACUGUAAUAACUCAUUUGACACUUUUACCCUAGGAAACAAAUAAACCAUUACAGGUUUCAACUUUAUCGGUUUAAAUUCAGUUAGAGUAAUAAUUUUAUAACACGUGUACGAGUAAAUACAUUUUAAAUUUAACAUAUAGCGUUUAUGUGAAAGAAAUAAUUAAUUAAACUGUUAAUUUAAUUAAAAUAGGUGUAAUUAAUUAAUGUAUUAGAUUUUAUAGGUUAAAGAUAUAUUUGUAAAUCUAAAUAUAAUCAUAUUUCUCUCUUCUUCCUUUCUAUUCAAUCAAGCAAGAGACAAGGGAGAGAACAUAUGUAUUUGAUCUCUAUUUCUUCUCUCUUUAUCCUUCUACCAAACAAUACAUCAGAACUAUUAUGUCCUAUUAUCUCUUUCUCAACUUUUUCUUUCUUCUCCCUACCAAAAACACCCUUAGAGAGGUACCUUCACAGCUAAAAAACAACAUAUACUUCAUUCAAUCUUGUGGAAUACAACAUAUACUUGGGAUGUCACUCCAUUAUAGAAUAAAAAAACACAUAAGAAACCAGGCAUAGGAUUAUUAAGAAGCCGUGAAAGAGAAAGGCAAUAACUGAUUUCCAUCAAAUAAUUCACAACCGGGAAACCAAACAUAUCCCACAUUGCGAACUCAAAUGAGCAUCCGAAAAUAAACCGAGAGAAAACUAGAAAACUACACUACAAAUGGGGGCAUGAUGUAAACUGGUAAAUGAACGUGGAUGAUGUUCAGAAACAAGAACAGACACAAAGGUGUGGAAUUGCGAUUCUAAUUGAAACUUCCAAAUAACUUAACCAUAAAUGAUAAAAAUGCAAAUGACUAGAAGGGUUGAUUAGUUCAGAUGCAUGUUUGGAGACAAUUUGUGAAUAAACAAUCAUCACUAUUAAAAACACAAAUAGAAAAACAUAGAUGCUUAAUUUGUAGAAAACCACAACAUAGAAAUGGAACAGUCUUCUUUUUUAUGUUAGUCAUUCCAAACAGGCAGAUACACCUGUUAAGAAGCCUAACCAAAAAAACAGAAAAACAAAUCUACUAAAUAUACAUUUAUUAUGUUUGCAUUCAUUAAAAGUAUUAGUACAGAAAGUCAUAAUGUUUGCAUUCAUUAUAUAUAUUAGUGAAAAAUAUGUAUGAAAUUCACAAACAUGGGUGGAGAGAGUUAUGGUCAGUUUCAAAAACCACUUUUAAUCAAGAAUAAAGAAGUAAAUACAAGUAAGAAACAGUUAAAAGAGUUGCACAUAACCUAAAUUUCAUUAUCUCUCAACCAUUACUAGAUGGAAACAAUGUACAAUGUUCAACAUUUUGAUGAUUAUCCAAAAGAGUCAUUUCAAAAACAGAUAAUAGGCUUUAAACAAAGAAUUAUAACUAUCAUAUACAUGAAAUUUCAUUAUCUCUCAGACAUUACCUAAUAAUGUUCAUUCCUAAUAAAUUCAAGAGAAUAAAUACAUAUGAGAUUGCAACAAUGUACAAUGUUUAACAUACUGAUGAUUGUGCAAAAAGGUUAUUUAAAAACAAUUAAUAGGUUUUAAACAGACAUUGUCAACCAUUGAGACAAGGUCUAAAUCAAGAAUAAUGACAAAUAUAAACAAAAAGUACCAUCCAACAAGCUAACCCUUGAUAGACAAAUCUACAAACAUAAACAAAAAGUUAAUCCAAUAUGACAAAUACCGCAUCCUUUAAAUGUUGUACAUUGUUAAGUAGUAUAAAGUGGAUGUCAGUCCCCUAAAGACCAUUGGUAAUAUUUUCAACUUAAAAGUCAGUGUGAGAUUAAAAUUAUCAACAAGUGCUACAUAAGUAAAUCACAAAAACCACACAACCAUUAGGAAGGAAGAGUUGGAAUAUUAGCAGAAUCAAGUAGUUACAUUAUACCUAUAAUUCUCUGAACACAAACAAUACCUAAACUCUAAAAUGAACACCAAUUCAACCAGAAAAUAUAGUGAAAUUCAAGAUACCAAAAACACAACAGAAAAACCAAACUAAUAUAGUCAUUACUAAAAUUCAAUGACAAAAUUAUAUAGAAAUAUCAUAGCAAAUGUCGUAAUCAUAAUUAAUAACUAAGAUGGUAAAAUCUCUCAAAAUGAUCUAAAUUAUCCAAAACAGUAAACAAACAACAAAAACGUUCAAUAGUUCCUCAAAUUAAUAUAAAUAAAAAACACAGAUCAAACAAAAGAGUCAGGAAAAACAUAAACCUCCUCAAUCCUGAGGGAUUUCAACAUCACCAUCAUUAAUCUCCUGCUGCAAAUCCUUAGGAUCCUUUCCAUCGACAGUGCAACCAACAGAAACACAAGUUCCAAGAAUCUCCUUCACCGUUCCAGAAAGCUCCUUCGCCAUAGACCUCGGCCUCAUAAUCCUAGCGAUCUCAAUGACAUCAUCAAGGGAGAUGUUUCCAUUAUGCUUGAUGUUCUUCGUCUUCUUCCUGUCACGUUCGGGUUCCUUCAAAGACUUGAUUACAAGUGCCGCAGCGGAUGGAACAACAGCGACCUUAGCCUGACGAUUCUGAACAGUAAGCUUGACGGUAACCCUAAGACCCUUCCAGUCCUUUGCGGUUUCCUUAGCGAUGUCUUCUCCGAUUUUUUUGGGGGAGAGACCGAGAGGACCGAUCUUUGGAGCGAGUGAACUCGCUGCUCCGACUUCGCCUCCGGUGACUCGGACGCAAACUUCGACGACCUGUGAGGGAUCGAAUUUUGGCGGCAUUGUGACGAUUAACAGAGGGAUUAGGGUUUCAGAAGGCGAGCGCAGCAGCUUAGUGAAACUGAAAAUGAAAAGAAUAUAAAAUAUAUAUUGAAACGUUUAGGGUUUUUGCUCUUGUUCAAUGUGAUCUAAUGACUAAUUUACCCCCAUUUUUUAUUGGGCCUUUUGCUGUUUUUUUUGGGCAAACCCAUAAAAAAACUCCUUGACUAAUUUACCCCCAUUGUUUUAUUGGGCUUUGCUGUUUUUUAUAGGCAAACCCAUAAAAAAACUCUUACACCUAUGGUAUACAGCCCCACCUUUCCCGGACUAAUAUCUAAGAUCUAAUCUUUAUAGGUAUAUAUAAAUCCGCGAACUUAAAUUAAUUCAACUCAUUCAAAUUUAGGUCUAACUCGAAAUAAUUCAUUGAAAUUUAAUUAUAUUCGGCUCGAGUAAUAAAUUUAAUAUUUUAAACCACAAACUCAGUUCAUUGACGUGUAAUAUAUAUUUUUGUUUUUAUUUGUAUUAUUGAUGUAUAGUUAAAAUUUAAUUGUUGAACUAUGUUUGAGAACUUGUUGCUAAUUUAAUUAAUUUAAGUGUUUGUGGAUUGUUUUAAGUAUUGAAUGAUAUAUUUUGAUAUAGUUUUAUUAUUUUUUAGAUGUUAAAGUAUUUAAAUUUGAUUAUAUUUUUUAAAAUGAAAAAAUAAUAAUAUUUUUCUUUAUUAAUCGAGAACUCAACCCAGUUAUAAUCAGGUUAGUUUGGUUCAGUUCGAUGGAAAAGUCAUGAAUUGAGAGCUCAAUCCAACCCAAAUAAAAUUAAUUGAAUAUCGGAUUUGACCAAAAUUGCAUAUGGUUGUCCAAAACUAAAUACAACUUAGAUGAAAGCAUCAAGAGACAAAGUUAAAUUGGUUGCAAAGGGUUUCAUAGAACAAUUGGGUAUUGAUUUUUUACACACAUUCUCCCUUGUCGAAAAAAUUACAACAAUUUGUGGGUUCUUCUUACUUUGUCAACCAAGCAUAACUAGCAUUUAUUUCAACUGGACAUCUAUAAUGCAUUUUCGAAUGACAACCUUGAUAAGAAGGUCUACAUGAAAUUAUCUAUGGGGUAUCCCAUUGAAGGGGAGACUCGAUAUCUUUACUGCAAACUCAACAAGUCCUUAUACGACUUGAAAUAUUUAUUUGGAUUGAAGGUUGACAUCAUCAAAAGGCAUAUACAUUUGCCAAAGAAAAUAUACACUUCAACUUUAGCAAAAUAAUAUAUUUCACCAAAAUAAAUAACAAGGAUGGUAUGUGACACCUCUAAUCGAAGGCGUAUUCCAGUGUGUCUGACACUGACACUAACACCGCCAUCUUCGUUACAAUUAUUAUAUGUGCUAGUAUGAUUUAAAAAUUAGUCUAAUGUGAGUUUUUUUUUUUAUCUUCAUAGUGUGUAAUAGAUAUUUGAUAAGGACGUAAUGGCAAAAUAGUUAAGUAAUGUGAAGGAUUCAAUGAAUCCCUGGAGAUGCUAUGACUCUCAUUACUCAUUAUUGCACUUGGACAAUACUUGAUCUCUCUUAUUGUAGUUGCUAAUGCGAAGUGUACUCAAUUUCAUUGUCUUGUGGCUUUUUUUAACAAGCCUAGUAUUCUAGCUAUUUCUUACAUUUGUUCUGUCUUUCAAUACAACAUAAAGCUUAUUGCUGCUAAUCCAUUUUUAUGAACCUAAACAACUGUAUAAAAAUCAAUAGAUUCUCUUAUUGUUGAAAAAAUAGUGGCUGCAUAUUAGUAGCUCCCAAUCAGUGUGACUGUGUCUCAAGCUCUUAGGAAUAACACUUUGACAGAUAUCAAUAUCUUCCUUCUGGUACAACAAAAAAAAAAAUCAUAAUUAAUCUCAAUAUGGUGAUAGUGAUAAACAUAAAAUACUCAAUAUGCAAGUACAUUAACGUGAAAACGGUACAUAAUGUCCCAUUGUAUAUAGAGUUGUGAAAAUAAUCCGAUUAUGAACUCAUAUUCAUAUCCGUUGUUGAUCCAUGUUUAUUUAAUAUUCUUUUAGCAGAAGACAAAACAGUUAUAUUGUUGAUACAUGUUUCUUAUUUUAAUUUUGUGAAAAUAACCAAUUUUUAAAUUAUGAAUAAUCAAUUUUUUUAAAAUAACUAAUAAUUAAACUAUGAAUAAUCGAUUUUUUUUUUAAAUAAUCAAUUUUUUUUAAAUAACCAAUUUUUAAACUAUGAAAAUCAAAUUAAACUAUUAAAAAGAAAUUAAAUUUUAAUCGAUUUUAAAAUUGUAUUUAUUGAAAAUCAGUUGCAUAAUUAGAAAUUGAUUAUUUAAUUAUAAUCGAAUUUACAAUCGAUUUUGUAACGGUUUUAAAUCAAAAAAUAACCUAUGUCUUGUACUUGGAAUUGAUAUGGUAGGAUUAGGUGUUCAUGAGCAAAAAUCGAACUCAUCCAUUGGACACGAUAAUACUUUGGUGAAAUUCUUAAAAAUUACUUUCAAAUCAAAUUUCGUGCACUUCUGAACUAAUUUGAAACUGAUUUAUAAAUAUAAACAUGUUUAAUAUUUUGAACAAAUUUUUAGUUAAAAUUUGAAAUUGAUUUUGAAAUUCUUUUGACAAAAAAAUAUCGAUUUAUUUUUGAGAAAAAUAUUUGUAAAAAAAUUUUCGAUAAAAUUUUCUUUUGAAAUUUUUUGUUUGUUUUUUUAAAAAAAUAUAGAUAUAAAAAAAUUUCAACAAAAAAUUUUCGGUUGUUUUUCAAAAAAAUAUUUCAGAUUUUUUUUUUCCCGAAAAUAUAUUUCUAUAUUAUUUUUCGAGAAAAAUAAAUUUCAAAAAUUUUCUAAGAAAAUAAACCUUAAUUGAAGUUAAAAAGUUUUAAAAUAGUUAAAUUGGUUUUUGAAUUAAGUUUGAUAAACUUAUUUAUUUUAAAUAUGUGAUUCGAUUUUUAAACUAUGAAUAAAUGAUUUUUAAAAAGAAUAUUAAAAAGAAAUUAAAUUUUAAUCAAUUUUAAAAUUGUAUUUAUUGAAAAUCAAUUGCAUAAUUAGAAAUCGAUUAUUUAAUUAUAAUCGAAUUUACAAUCAAUUUUGUAACGGUUUUAAAUCAAAAAAUAACCUAUGUCUUGUACUUGGAAUUGGUAUGGUAGGAUUAGAUGUUCAUGAGCAAAAAUUGAACUCCUUGGACACGUUAAUAGUUUGGUGAAAUUCUUAAAAAUCACUUUCAAAUCAAAUUUCGUGCACUUUUGAACUAAUUUAAAAUUGAUUUAUAAAUAUAAACAUGUUUAAUAUUUUGAACUACUAAAAAUUUGAAAUUGAUUUUGAAAUUCUUUUGACAAAAAAAUAUCGAUUUAUGUUUGAGAAAAAUAUAUGUAAAAAAAUUUAGAUAAAAUUUGAUUUUGAAAUUUUUUGUUUGUUUUUUUCAAAAAAUAUAGAUAUAAAAAUAUCUCAAUAAAAAAAAUUUCAACAAAAGAAUUUCAAUUGUUUUUCAAAAAAAAUAUUUCAGAUUUUUUUUCCCGAAAAAAUAUUUCUAUAUUAUUUUUUGAGAAAAAUAAAUUUUAAAAAUUUUCUAAGAAAAUAAAUCUUAAUUGAAGUUAAAAAGUUUUAAAAUAGUUAAACUGAUUUUUGAAUUAAGUUUGAUAAACUUAUUUGUUUUAAAUAUGUGAUUUGAUUUAUAAACCAUUUAAAUGGUGUGAUUUUUUUUUAAUGUAAUACAAUUCAAUUUAUCAAAUCCAAUUAACAAUAUAUUUAGACAUCCCUAAAUAGAAUAAAAGGUAGUCUUCAUAUAAAACCUUAAACAACAAUGAUUAGAUCUCUUAAAGGCGUGAUUAACAGUCUUAAGUGCAUUUUGGAAUAAAAUAUCUCUUAAAUCCUCCUUUGUGAUGCUAAUUUAUGCCCACGGUUGCAAACUUGUGAUUAUGAUGUUGGAUAAAAAAUGUCCCAACAUACACGUCAAAUAAAUUGGGUUUAAUUGCAGUUUUGGUUUUUCUUUUAAAAAUUUAUAAUUUUAGCCCCUCUAUCAUAUUUUUGAACUAAUUCAAGUUGGAUGAAUCAGUAUACUUUUCGUAUGUGAUUUUUUUAUCUCUUAUGUUUAAUUAUUUUUACAGACAAAUCACACUUUAUUAUUAUUAUUUUUAUUUACAACUUCUUAACUUUAUAUAAACUGUCAAGAACAUUUUAAUCAGUUAAGAUAUUAUUAAUCAUCUUUUAAUUACCAAGUUUAAUCUUGAGUAAAACAUAAAUUAAAUGCAUGACCUGAAUUUUAAAAUAGUCACAAUUCAAACUCCGAAUAUUAUAAUCCUACAUAUUUAUCCUAGUAUUUUUUUAUGUGAAUUACAUAGUUUUUAACAACAUCAAAAAAAAUCAAUCUCUAUUUCAUUGACAAUCUUUCAACACAAAAUUGUAUUUGAAAAUCCCGGUUCUCUAUAUUUUUCCAAGUUUUUAAUAAAAUAUUUACUAGUUAAAAACCUACAUCAAUACACAUGUCUUCUUUUAGUAAAUUUUUGCAAAAAUAUUUUUCUAUAUAAUCAAUGUUUUAUACAAUUAAAUUAAAAUAAGAAUAAAAAAAACUAUUAUUACUAUAAUAGAAAUAGAAUGAGAUAAAUGAAUAGUAAAAAAUUUGAUCGAUUAGCAUAGACUUGCCCUGUGAUAUUUUUUUGAAUUGAUUAUAUAUUAAAAAGACAAAAAAACUAUAAAAUUUAAAUUGAAUUUGAAUACUUUAACAUAAAAUUCUUUUACAUGACACUUUUUUUUUUUAAAUUCUUAAUUUUUUAACUAUAUAUAUAUAUAUAUAUAUAUAUAUAUAUAUAUAUAUAUAUAUUAUACAUUUUUUUUUNNNNNNNNNNUUAAUUUGCACUUUUUUUUUUUAAAUUUUUAAUUUUUUAUCUAUAUAUAUAUAUAUAUAUAUAUAUAUAUAUAUAUAUAUAUAUUAUACACUUUUUUUUAAUCAUUUUACUAAAUAAUAUUUAUAUUAAUUUUGGAAUUCUUUUGCAUAUUAUAGUGCAAAUAUAAAAUCAAAGAUCAAACAUGAGUAUUCUUGAAGCUUGAUUGAGAAUUUAGUUUUGAAAUUUAUCAAUAAUUUAAAAUUUUACUUUUAAGUUAAAAAUUUAACUGUUACAAAAUUUAAUUAAAAAAUAAUAAAUAAAACAUAAUUUAAUUUUCAUUAUAAAAUCAAUCAAUUGUAUAUAUUUUAUAUUAUUUUAAUAUAAUUCAUUAUGCAUACAUAAAUAAAGUUAUUUUAUAAUUAUUUAAAUUAUACAUAUAUCAUACGAAUAUAUUCUCUUUCAUUCUUCAUGUAUUAAAUGAGUUUUAGAAUCACAUUUGUAAUGUGAUAAUAAAUAUUAUAUACGUUAAUAAUACAAAAUGAUCGUAAAUUUAAAUCUUCAUUAUAUUUAUGUAUUGUAUAUCUAUUAUUUAUCAAAUAAUUAAAUUUUUAUAAAUGAUUGCAGAAAAAUUAUAAUAUUUUUUGUUUGACGUAUAAAUUCAAUCAAUAAUAUAUUAAAACAUAAACGAUUAAUAAGAUCAAUAUUAAUCCAUUUCUCAAACAUAAAAGAUAUUAGUAUGUGAAGACAAAUAAUAUACACUAAAUAUUUACCCAUAAUAUUAUUAUACAUGUUAUACAACCUUUACAUUUGAAAACUAUUGUAUAGUUUAUUUAUAAAAAGACUAUUUAUUUGGUUAUUAAAAAAAAAUCAUUAUUCGUAUUUUAAAAAUAGAUUGUUUUUAUAAAAUGAAAUAUAAAAAAAAAAAAAUGGAGUCAUUUAGCCUAUACGAGGAAUAUAGCAAGUGAAAACAAAAUUAAUAAAUUCUCACAUCAAUAUAAAAUGUAACUAUUGAUUGUUUAAGGUUCUGGAAUACUUUUUAAUCAAUAUAUUAGACUUAAUCAUAUUUUCUUGGAUGUCGUGGAGAGAGUUAAUGAUAUAGGAUUCAUAAUCGGAUUUGCAUGUCUCAUUAAUCGCGGCUCGCAACAUAUAUAUUGAUACUUUACACUUUUCUUCACUUUUGUUCUCUCUUUUAUUUUUGUCCUCUCUUUUACAAAACUUUGUAGUUGUCUUCACCUUUAUCUUAUAUUAUAACAAAGUAAAAAUUAUCUUUUUAACAAUAAGUUUGUUGUGGGUAUCGAUCGGUCUUUACCAUUAUAAAUAACUAAAACGAUAAAUGUUUAUAAUAAUUUGCUUAUUAAAACUCAUAAUCAAAAUAAAGACUUGAGAUUGUAGUUUUUCACAAUAAUUGAUACAAUAAAACUAAUUUUCUCUUAAUUAUAGGUGUUAAACUCUUAAAAAUUAGACAAACAAUUAUAGUUAAUGUUUUCUGUCAAAGAGUGAAAAUGUAUUUUAAACUAAUAACUAACUUAUUUUCAUUAUUAAUGUAUUAACAAAAUCAUUUAAGAGAAUAUAUCAUCCAUGAUUUAAAGAUAAGUAAAAUAUAUUUUUAUGAUUUGAUUCUCUUGUCUAAUCUUAAGGGUCGGAUAUCUAAUCCACCUUUCAAUAUAUUAUUUGAUAUUCAAGUAUGAAGAUGACUUUAAUGAAAAUUUGAUUAAAAGAUCAAUAUACGUAACAAAGAGAGAUAGAAAUUGUUAGAGAUCUAUCAUUGAAAAUCUUACAAUCUCAAGAUAAGAAAUAUCUACUCACAAAUGAUGAUAGUAUAAUCAAAGCUUAAAUAUAAAAACAUUAAAAAUAUAAAAUAACAUAAUAAAGUAGUAGCAGAAAUAGAAAACUUAAUAAUAUUGAAACUAUAAAUUUGCUUAGAGAAAUACAAGAACAAAAGGAAGAGUAACAAGAGAUUGUGAAUAGAAAUUUGUGUCUAAAAUUGACUAUUUUCGUCUUUUUUAUAGCCCUAUUGAUGUGGAUUUGAGUGUUUCCAUGUGAGAUAAAGUUGUAAAAUAAAAGAGAGAAAGAAAAAAAAAAACAAACACGGGUUAGAUUGAUAAGUCAAUGUAGAAUCGCCACAUUGGUAAGGAAUCCAUUGAUAAGAUUCAAGCAAGUUAUAAUCUAAGAACUCAAAGAGGAGACACAUGUCACUCACAAUUCUCAUUAGAGAAAUUCUAAUGCAUUUCAAAGUUAUACAAAAUGAGACUCUUACGAUGUAUUUAAAGAAGGAUUUACCUUAUUCCUAAAAUUGGCAAAAAAACCAAUUCCCUAGACCCAUAUUAGGCUGACAACAAUUAACUAAAAUUAUUAUAAUUCAAAUUAAACACACAUAAAACUAAAAACUAUUAUAAAGUAUUGACUUGAAAUAUUCUUUGUUUUCCCUCCUAAUUAGCUCAUUUUAGGUCUUCAUCAUUCCCUCCUUCUUAGAAGAAAUUCGACCUCGAAUUUAGCUCAAUCAUAACCUACAACAAGAAAAAACACAAGUCAAAGACAUGAAGAACAAUGUUAAUGCUACCACGGGGAUCAAAUGGAAAUUGUGAAAAACCACUAAAUGUGUCAAGUAGGUGAAGCACAAUUUCAUUUUUUGCAUUCAACAAUCCAACAUAUUCAUUUAUAAUAUAAGGAGUUUUCAAGAUAGAGAUAAAAUAAUAUCUCUUGAAAUUGAUAUUAAGUACCAAUGUUACCUUCCUUGGAUUUGAAUUGGAGAUGAACACGAAGUUACUUUGUAUUUCCAAAGGCUUCAACGCAAUUUGAGCCUCAUGGACAUUCCUUUUAUCAUAAACAAAUGAAUGUUCUUUUUGAAACAAGACAAGUCUCUCCAACAAAUUAGGAGUAUCAUAUGGAAGUUUAAAAGAUUUGUCAAUAAAAGAAAGAGUAAAUAUAGAUGUAGUAGUGCAGCUAUCAUCUAAUUCUACAUGCAAACAUUUACCCUUCAUAGAAAAUCUCAAGAUACUAACUUUAUUUUUAAAACAAGAGUAAGUAUUUAAGUUAGCAAACAAAUGUCUUUAGAAUCCUAACAUAUUAUUCAAAAAAAAAAUUCAUGAACCAAAGUUUCUUUAGAAAGCACAACAAUACAUUUAUCAAGAAAAUCAUUCAAGUAUUGGCUCAUAAUUCUCAAAUCAAGUUUAGAAGAAUAAUAUAGAUUAAAUACUUGAUGCAUCAUGGUUUCAAAUUUCAAAUGAGAUUUAUGAAAAUAACACAAGUUAGACAUUUCAACAUGAUUAUUUGUAAACCUAUCACACAUAGGAGGAAUAAAUUUGUCAAACAAUUUAAGAGAACACAUGAAUUAAAGUAGUAGAAGAAUUAAAGUUACUAGGAUUCAAACCAAUAUUUUUCUUGCAAUGACCCUUUUGAGAAAUAUUUGGCCAAUCACCUUUAACUUCAAUGGAUUAUGGGCAUUCCUCUUAUAGAUACCUAUUUUCAAGCUUUUGAACAUAAGAAUUACCAAAGUUAGGAAAAUAAUUCGACUCAAUUUCUUGCUAUUUCACAUUCUUCGGAUCCAAUACAAAAUCUAUAGUAUAUUCUUCAUAUGAUAUACUUUCCUUUUUUUUUUUUUUUCUUGUUCCUCCUUUUUUAUAUUAUUUGUGUAUUUUCUCUUUUGCAUACCUCAUAUCAUCCAUCUCAAAAUCUAUUUGCCUCGUUGCUUUUGCCCUAUCACUCUUUUCAUAUCUCAUUUCAUCCUCACCAUAAUCUCUAUAUCUUAUUUCUUUUUCAUUAUCUCUCAUUUCAUACAUCAUUUCCUGCUCAUCAUAAUUUUCACAUCUUCUUUCUUUUUCUCUAAAUCUCCUCUCAUACCUCAUUUCCUUAUCAUCAUAACAUCUAUGUAAUGCAAAUUUUUUAUCCAAAAAUUACUUAAAAAUAUUUAUUUUCUUUUAGAAACAACUAUAAAUUUUUUUUUUCUUAGGAAUGGUUAAUCAUGUAAUAAUUUGAAGAUGCAUUAGAAAAUGACUUGAUAUUUUUUUUUUUUUUGUAAAAGAACGUAAUGCAAUUUACUAAAAUAGUAUUUAUUCAUUUAUUUGCAAAAUUAAUAUUUCAAUCGUUACAUCGAUAUUCAUUUAUGCUCCAAAAUAAAAUAAAUUAUCUUUAAGUGAAAUUCAAAAAAAAUAAUGUUGACUAAAAUUAAUGACAUCUAAUUAUUUACUAGCAAAUGAAAUCUCACUUCUGCAUUUCUAUUAAAAGUUAAUGAUUAAGAGUAAAUAAUUUUACAAGUACUACAAAAAAAAAAUUAGUAAUACAAAACAUUAUUUUUAAGUAAAAGUCUCAAUUUCCCACGAGCGUACACCAAGCAAACAUUAUUAUACGACACUUUGAGAUCAUUGGUACCUAAAUGUUGGUGUAAGGGGUCAGUUCAUUCCACAACAAAAAUUAAACCAAAUAAUAAAUUAACAGUCAUAAAAUAUGAAUAUAAAAUCUUUUUGUAUUAAAAGAUUUAAAGAAAUUGAUUCUUUAAUAGUUCUCAAAGAUGUAUCAAAAGUCAUAAAAUGUAUCUAAAUAAAUCAAGUAUCAAUCGUAGAGCAAAUAAUUAGAUCAAAAUCAAAAUAGCAAUAAAAUGUAUGCAAGUUAUGCGUUCUCCUAAACAUAUAUGAUCCGGAUAUAACCAGCCACACAGGCGUCCACACAGAAGUCACUCAUACCAUUGGGGAAAAAUUAAAACAGCCACACAUGCGUCCACAAAGAUGCAUAUGAUAUGUCAUGAAAUGAUAAUGAUGCUCAAAAUGUACAUGUUACCAUCCACUUAAAUAAUCACACAAAUCAUCGGCCACUUAGGCAACCAUAAAGAUAACAAUAUUUAAAACACAAAUCACCAGCCAUUUAGGCAACCACAAAGAUAACAAUAUUUAAAACACAAAUCACCAGCCACCUAGGCAACCACAAAGAUACUGAUAUUUAAAACACAAGUCAUCCGCCACUUAGGCAACCACAAAGAUAACAAUAUUUAAAACACAAAUCACCAUCCACUUAGGCAACCACACAGACAAAAUAUUUUUGAUUAAAUUUUUUAAUCAUAUAAGACAUCAAAUUUAUAUUUACGAUGCAAUAUUACGUAUUUAUGUCUAUGAGUUCAUUAGGAUUAACUAAUAAGUUCACCUUAUAUUGCAGGGUGUCACACCAUCCAUUUUAAUUAAAUAAAUAAAUUAGAGGUAUCACAUCACCCUUUUAAUUUUUUAUCUAAUAGUUACGAAACCAAAAAUAGCAUAGAAUUAUUUUUGUAGACAAUUAAAAUAAAAUUAUAAUUUUUGUUUUAAAGAGAUGAAUGCAUGAGAUACAAAAAGGAGAAUAGUCAUCUCUUAAUUACACAAAAAAGAAAUUCAUAAUUACAUUUAUAAUCUUCCUUUAAAAAAUAAAUUAAAGGUGUUAAAAAUGAGUUAAUACACAUUAUGCCAAGAAACACCAUGAAUUGUCAUAAAAUCUUGUCAUAAAAGAGAAUAAAAGAAUGAGUCAAGUACUAAUAUAUUUUUUUUUAUGGACCAAAAAUAUUUUCAAAAUACUUGUAUCUAAAAGCUGGGUUUCACUAACUCUAUAAUAUCUCAUAAAAUAAAUACUUAUUUGGUCGUAAAUAAAACUAACAAACAAUAAACUUUUAUAAAUUCUAAUUUAAUUAAAUAAUCAAUUAAUAUGUUAUCAACUAAAAUAAAUCAAGCAAGACAAGAAUACCACUCACACAUAAAAAAUAGAACAAACAUAUCUAACACAUCAAUUUCAUGAUUAUCGAAACUAAUCAAAUAAAAAAUGUACAGUCGUCCAUUUAGAAAAUAAUCACAUCAUAAACCAUCCCCAUGUAAUUGUCACGCCAAAACAAUUAAAUAAAAAUAAAAGUUAUAAUUAUUCAGGUAAAAUAGAGUGUGAUAAAAUUUACUUUAAUUUAUUUAUACAUAGAAUAAUUAUUAAUUUAAUAAUAAAUGAUAACAAUUACUAACACGACACAUAUAUAAUAGGCUAAAUUACAUUCGUGGUCCUUAACUUAAUUCCAGGUAACGUUUUAGUCCUUUAUCUUUUUUUUUUCCCGACUUGGUCAUUUAUUUUAAUUUUAAGUGACAAUUUGAUAUUUUAUGUUUUAAAAUUUCAACAAUGGUAUCCUUUUUUAUACAAAAAUUCAAAAAAAAAAAAUUCAAUUAAAACUCAUAAAAUUAAUUAUAUUCUUCAAUAUAAUACAAAUUUCAUCAAAUUCGUAACGCAAAUCUUUAAAUAAACUCAUAUUUUCAUACUUUAUUUGAUAUUGUUAGGAAUAAAGGACUAAAUCGGAAAAAAAAAAAAAAAAGAUAAAUGACUAAAACGUUACUUGAAAUUAAGUUAAGGGACCAUGGAUGUAAUUUAGCCUAUAUAAUAUAUAUGAAAAUUUUGGGUUGUUACAAUCUACAUCUUCUUUCUUUCUUAAUUUCAAACAUAUCUUUAUUUUGAGAAGAUCUUUCAUGGUGAGAUAUCAUAUAUAUUUGAUUCACGAACUCUUCUCUCAAGACAUUCAUUUGAGUAUUCAAAUUUUUGUAAAGUGACCCAUAAGAUAAGUGAUCUGGAAGAAAGUGGAUUUGGUUCACUUUCACUCCCAAUAAUUAAACAAAUAACAAGAACAAGAUAAAAAAUAAAUAAAUAAAUAAAUAAUGCUCUCAUCACUCACUAAGUGUUUACACUCAAGAAAUAUAUUACUCGUGUAUAUCACACAAUGGUGGCUUUUUUUUCUUUCAAUGAUGUACAUUUUUGCCUUUUCCACUCAAACUCCUCUUUCAAGUUCUUAAAAAGAACCCAAAUAAAAAUCCAAAUCAAAUAAUAGAAACACAAUGUAACAAGUCCACAAAAGCUAUCAACACAAGAGUUUCAAGAAGAAAAACUCUAAGACAAAACUAAGAGAAUUUAAAAUGACAAACAAGAAGAAAAAACUAGGUAAAUGAAUACAUACUCAAGUAGAUUAUAAAAGAAAAACAAAAAUAUUAUAAAUAAAUCACUAAGUGAUCCAAAUAUGUGGAAGGUAAGAUGCUAAAGUCAAACUUGUUGGUAUUAAUGACCUCUAUCCUUAGGAUGUUUUAUACAAUAUUUUUAACUAGAUUAUCUAAUUCUUUCCUAAGUGAUGAACUUAAUAUCCAAACCAACUUGUUUAAUAUUAAUUCCAAUUUAACAGUAAAAGAUUCAAAAAUUUAUUCCAAACUAAAAUUCAAGAACACGUGCAAUAUCAAAAUAAAGAGUCUAGAGAAAGAAAAUUGUGCACCCUUGAUUUUUAUACUGGUUCGACUAUCAGUUUGAUAGUCUACGUCCAGUCCUGGAAUCAAUCACCGAUUCCAGCCUUUAUUAGAAAUGAUUUGAGUUUGUUUACAGACUUUCCAGCACCUCACUGCCUAUACAUCCAACUCAACAUCAAUCUUCUACAAACACCAAUCUAUCCUUACGAACUACUCGCCAAGCUCUAGCAAGAUCAUAUUGAGACCUCUUUUAGAUGACCACACACUCUAAAAGAUGAUCACCAAUUUCACAAUACUGGAUUUUUCACACACUUUCUUUUACAAAGAUAUUUCUUGCAAAAAGACUCAAAACUCUUGAUUCAAUCACAAUCAAUCUCACACAUAAUAUUUGCCAAUGAAGUUUGUGAGUUAUAACAAUUUCUCUCAAGGUGUAUUAUUGGAAAAGUUCAGUUCUUUCAAUGUAUUCUGUAAAAGAAAUUUUUAUGAAAAUUGUGAUUGAUUUCAAUGUAUAUAGUUUUUGAAAAACUCAGAUAAAUCGAUUUCCCAAUCGAUUUAUUAAUGUGUAUUCCCAGCUUUAUCGAUUUCCCAAUCGAUUUCGCGUUUCUUGUUUUUCUUUAAAUUCUUGAAAACAGAUGAACUAAUCGAUUUGCUAAUUGAUGUUUUUAAUGCAUAAAUCAGAACUUUGAUGCUCAGUUCAUCUCCUAGUCGAUUGAGUAAUCGAUUUAUAUUUGUUUUGUUCAAAGUGUAAGAUCAAAUAAUCGAUUACUCAGUCGAUUCAUGUUUACUAACAUAAUCGAUUUGGCAAUGGGCUAAUGUCUCCCUGUAACUUAUAUACUCAACCAAAUCGAUUUUCCAAUCGACUGAUUUCUCCAUGUAACUCAGUCACUUAGUUACAAUCGAUGUGCCAAUCGAAUAUGUAGUAUGUCUCUGAUAAAUGAUAAACUGAUUCAUUUAUGCAAUCGAUUAUCCAAUCGAUUUUGUUUAAUCACAGAACACAGGUCUGAUAAAACAUUUUUAAGUAAUCGAUUUGCGAAUCGAUUAUCUCAGUGAAAGUUUUGUUCUGUGAAUCAAACAAUCAAUUAACCAAUUGAUUAGUGGGAAUCUUGUACCUCAAGAAAGUAUAUCAAUCGAUUGUCCAAUCGAUUCCCUUUGAUCAUAGAACACAGGUCUGAUAUCUUGUACCUCAAGAAAAGUAUAUCAAUCGAUUGUCCAAUCGAUUCCCUUUGAUCAUAGAACACAGGUCUGAUAUCUUGUACCUCAAGAAAAGUAUAUCAAUCGAUUGUCCAAUCGAUUCCCUUUGAUCAUAGAACACAGGUCUGAUAUCUUGUACCUCAAGAAAAGUAUAUCAAUCGAUUGUUCAAUCGAUUGCCUUUGAUCAUAAAACAUAGGUCUGAUAUUAGCCUUUAAGUAAUUGAUUUCCUAAUCGAUUGACUUAGUUAAAACUUGGUUCUAUAACUCAGAAAAUCGAUUGCCCAGUUGAUUUCCCAAUUGAUUUAUUAAAAUACUUAUUUUAUGAUUUCAUUUUUCAUUGGCAAAUAUUAGAUGUGUGAAAUCAUAAUGAUGAAUCUAACUAAUACACUAUGAACACUAAACAUAUUUAUACAGAAUCUUCAAGCUUUAUAUGAUCCAAUCAAUCUUUGCUUGAUUGCUUGAGAUCCAAGUUUUGUCCAGGUUUUGUUUGAUUCUUUCCUGAAAUGUAUCUCAAUUCAAACUAUAAGAUUUAUCAAAUAAUGCAUAUACAUUGUAUGUUUGGGAGUUACAUCAAAAUCACAGAGGUAUAUAUCUUACAAUCUCCCCCUUUUUGAUUAAAUGACAAACAUACAAUUUAACUUUGAGUUUUACAUUUCAACAUUAGACCUUAACUUUAUAAUAAUCCUUAUUUAAACUCCCCUUGAAUUUUAGCAUUCAUAUUUCAUUUCAAUUUCAGAUUAAUUCUUAUUUAAACUCCCUCUGAAUUUUAGCAUUCAUAAUUCAGUAUUCAUAAGAUUGCAUAAGCACAAGCACAAGUUAAAUUCAUUCUCCCCCUUUGUCAUUAAAUUCAAAAAGAAAAUACAAGGGAGAAUAAAAAAUUUACAAAACAAUAAGGAAAACAUAAAUCCUAAACUCUAAUCUAGGGCUGCUCCUGAUUAGGGGGGGAAGGAGGUUCAUCAUCCUGAUUCCCUGAUCUAGGUACUAACAUCCUGGUUAGCACAUACAUCAGCAAUUUGUGCUGAAUCUUCAUUUGACCAAUGGGAAGAGAGAUGCCUUCCAUAAAUCCUUCAACCAUUAGGUCUUGAAUUGAUGUGUGUCUGUCCACUGAUGUUUCCCAAGCAUCAUCAGUGGAGUCAGGAUUGGUCCUGCCAUAAAAUGGCAGUCCUGACAGCCUUGAGAAUUCUCUAAAGGUCAUAGAGAUCUUCUUUCCUUUCACUUCAGAGUCAAAUCCAAAAGUUGUGAGUGUGAAGUUGGAGUAGAAAGCUCUAAUGAGCCUUGGAUAGAUUUCUAGAGAGCAGGAUAGAAAGUCUACCAAAUCAUGAAAUCUUAAAUGGUUUUGGAAUGUGAAGCCAUUUGAAUCAAAAUACGCAAAAUCCAGAGUUCUUGCCUCAUGGAUUUUCCUUUCUAAGAAGGCGGGUGGAAGAACAACGUCUUCAACAGGUUUGCCUUUGGGAGGCUGAAUCUUCUUUGGCUGGGGGGAAGAAUAGUUUUCUUCUUUUUCUGGGUUGGCCCCUUCAUGGCAUCCCCCAUUAGUUUUUCAGAUUGAGAAACCUUCCUCUUUUUUGUUGUUCCUUGAUCAGUUGCAAUUGCCUUUCCUUUAUCCUUUGCUAACACCUUAUGAGUAGGUAUUGAGACUCUCUUAGCAGGAGGGGAANNNNNNNNNNNNNNNNNNNNNNNNNNNNNNNNNNNNNNNNNNNNNNNNNNNNNNNNNNNNNNNNNNNNNNNNNNNNNNNNNNNNNNNNNNNNNNNNNNNNNNNNNNNNNNNNNNNNNNNNNNNNNNNNNNNNNNNNNNNNNNNNNNNNNNNNNNNNNNNNNNNNNNNNNNNNNNNNNNNNNNNNNNNNNNNNNNNNNNNNNNNNNNNNNNNNNNNNNNNNNNNNNNNNNNNNNNNNNNNNNNNNNNNNNNNNNNNNNNNNNNNNNNNNNNNNNNNNNNNNNNNNNNNNNNNNNNNNNNNNNNNNNNNNNNNNNNNNNNNNNNNNNNNNNNNNNNNNNNNNNNNNNNNNNNNNNNNNNNNNNNNNNNNNNNNNNNNNNNNNNNNNNNNNNNNNNNNNNNNNNNNNNNNNNNNNNNNNNNNNNNNNNNNNNNNNNNNNNNNNNNNNNNNNNNNNNNNNNNNNNNNNNNNNNNNNNNNNNNNNNNNNNNNNNNNNNNNNNNNNNNNNNNNNNNNNNNNNNNNNNNNNNNNNNNNNNNNNNNNNNNNNNNNNNNNNNNNNNNNNNNNNNNNNNNNNNNNNNNNNNNNNNNNNNNNNNNNNNNNNNNNNNNNNNNNNNNNNNNNNNNNNNNNNNNNNNNNNNNNNNNNNNNNNNNNNNNNNNNNNNNNNNNNNNNNNNNNNNNNNNNNNNNNNNNNNNNNNNNNNNNNNNNNNNNNNNNNNNNNNNNNNNNNNNNNNNNNNNNNNNNNNNNNNNNNNNNNNNNNNNNNNNNNNNNNNNNNNNNNNNNNNNNNNNNNNNNNNNNNNNNNNNNNNNNNNNNNNNNNNNNNNNNNNNNNNNNNNNNNNNNNNNNNNNNNNNNNNNNNNNNNNNNNNNNNNNNNNNNNNNNNNNNNNNNNNNNNNNNNNNNNNNNNNNNNNNNNNNNNNNNNNNNNNNNNNNNNNNNNNNNNNNNNNNNNNNNNNNNNNNNNNNNNNNNNNNNNNNNNNNNNNNNNNNNNNNNNNNNNNNNNNNNNNNNNNNNNNNNNNNNNNNNNNNNNNNNNNNNNNNNNNNNNNNNNNNNNNNNNNNNNNNNNNNNNNNNNNNNNNNNNNNNNNNNNNNNNNNNNNNNNNNNNNNNNNNNNNNNNNNNNNNNNNNNNNNNNNNNNNNNNNNNNGCUGUUGAAAGUGCCACACUAUUUUGUUUCUUGUUAUGCCAAGAUACAAGUGAAUUCCCUAAUAGAUGGCAAGUACCAGAUGUACUUUUUCUGUCUAAUUUGCAACCAGCAAAAUCAGAAUCAGAAUAGCCAACAAGAGUGCAAGUUGAUCCCUUAGGAUACCAUAAGCCUAGAUGUUUGGUUCCCAAUAGAUAUCUUAAUAUUAUUUUGACUGCACUUAAAUGGGAUUCCUUAGGAUUGGCUUGAUAUCUUGGACACAUGCAGACACUAAACAUAAUGUCAGGUCUACUAGCUGUAAGAUAUAAUAAAGAUCCUAUCAUGCCUCUAAACAUGGUCAUAUCCACAGAUUUUUCCUUUUCAUCUUUAUCUAAAUGACAAGCUUGGCUCAUGGGUGUAUCAAUGGGUUUAAAUUUAUCAAAGCCAAACUUCUUUAAAAGAUCAUUACAGUACUUGGUUUGACUUAGGAAAAUACCAUUCUUGCUUUGAUUGAUUUGAAAUCCUAAGAAGAAGGUUAAUUCUCCCAUCAUGGACAUUUCAAAUCUUCCUUUCAUUGUAUUUUCAAAUUCUUUGCAAAGUUUGUUGUUUGUGGAUCCAAAGAUUAUGUCAUCAACAGAAAUUUGGACAAGCAGAAUGUCUUUUCCCUUUUUCUUUAUAAAGAGUGUUUUAUCAACAUUUCCUCUUGAAAAUUUUUGCUGUAUGAGGAAAUUGUUGAGCUUUUCAUACCAAGCUCUUGGAGCUUGUUUCAAUCCAUAGAGAGCUUUUGUUAGUUUAUAAACAUGGUUUGGAAAAGCAGGAUUCUCAAAUCUUGGAGUUUGACUAACAUAAACCUCCUCUUGGAUAUCUCCAUUUAGAAAAGCACUCUUUACAUCCAUUUGAUACAAUUUAAAGUCCAUGAUACAAGCAUAAGCAAGCAGAAUCCUAAUUGCUUCUAAUCUGGCCACAAGAGCAUAAGUCUCAUCAUAAUCAAUACCUUCCUCCUGGUUGUAGCCUUUAGCAACUAGCCUAGCCUUAUUUCUAGUUAUUACCCCAUUCUCAUCCAUUUUAUUCCUAAACACCCAUCUAGUUCCAAUAAUACAAGUGUGUGAUGUAAAAUAUACCUGGUAGCCUUUAUCACAAAGCUGACUAAUGCUAAGUAGAUUGUGUUUCAAACCUUUUACAUAGAGAACAUCCUUGACUAUGGUUGUUGAUUCACUCCCUAUGUCUCCAGCACCAAGUAUUUUGCCUUUGUUAUUGUCACCAUACUUCACAUAUCCUCCAUCUUUUAAAUCAAGAGAUAUAAAUUUUGAUUUGUCUCCAGUCAUAUGUUUGGAACAUCCACUGUCUAGAUACCAUGAGUGAGUUUUGGAUGUCAAGCAGAUCUGCAAAACAAAAUUCAGACUUUGGUUCUAGGUACCCAAUUUUGAUUGGGUCCUUGAGGGUUAGUCUCAAUCAUAGGUUUCUUUACUCUCCAAACUUGUUUCCAUCCUUUGUUAGCAAGCUUUUUCAAUUUACAAUUAAAUGAUAUGUGUCCUUUUUUGCAACAAAAAUGGCAUGAAAAAGUAGAGAAUGUACUGUGAGUUGGUUUACUGCAAACAUCAUGAAUUGACUUUGAUUUAACAAAUUUAUAAUUCUUUUGAACAUUCCUAUUUGGUCUAUAGCCAAUUCCAGAUUUUUCAUUUGCAUUCUUUUGGUUGCCAAGAAGAACAUUCAGGUUGUUUCUACCAUUUGUAAAUUUUGCUAAAUCAGAUUUUAGUGACACAACUUUUCCUUCAAGUUCAGUAAAGCUAUUUUGUUUAUCAAGUGCUUCCUUUUUCAACAAUUCAUUCAUGUCUUUAAGCAACUUAUGAUCUUUCUUAAUUUCUUCAUAUAUCAUGCAUUGUUUUUCUAACAUUUUCUUAGUGCAAAUCAAUUGUUUGACUACCUUAAUAUGUUCAUCAUGCAAUUCAUUAAAAGCAUCAUCCAGUUCUUCAUAAGAGGGAUUAGAGGUAGUACUUACAUCACUGUCUGAAUCUGAAUCAAGGUUGGCCAUUAGACACAAGUUUGCUUCUUCAUCUUCUGAAUUUUCAGACGAUUCUUCAUCAUUGUCAUUCCAAGAUAUGUAAGCUCUUUUAGUUUUUGAAGAUGGUUGAUCCUUGCCUUUAGCUUUCACAAAUUUGUUUCUAUUUUGCAGUUGAAAACAUUCAGAUAUAAUGUGGCCUGAUUUUCCACAUUCAUAGCAAGUUAUCACUUUGCUAUCAUUUGUUUCAUUCUUGCUGAAGCUUUUUGCCCUUGAUCUGGAUGGUUUCUUUGAUUGGACUCCUUUCUUCUUCAGAAAUUUCUUGAAUUUUCUGACCAGCAUCCCAAUUUCAGGUUCUUCAUCAGUUUCACUUUCUGAGUCACCAGUACAAGUUUCUGGUUCAGAUUUUGGUUUAUGAGUUUGAGCUUUCAGAGAUAGUCCUUUUCUUUUCCGAUCAGUUUGCUCUGACUCAUUCAACCGGUGCAACUCCAUUUCAUGUUCUCUGAGCUUGCCAAAUAGGGUGGCAAUGGUCAUGCUUCCAAGAUCCUUUGAUUCAGCAAUUGCAGUGACCUUAGGUUGCCAUUCUCUUGUCAAGCAUCUCAUUACUUUGUUUAUUUGUUGCUCAUUGUCAAUUACUUUUCCUAGAGCAUUCAGAUUGUUUAUGACAUGUGUGAACUUUGUCUGCAAGUCAUUGAUUGACUCAUCCUUCUUCAUAUUGAAAAGUUCAUAUUCAGGCAUCAGAGUAUUUGUUCUGGCCUUCUUGACAUCAGUUGUGCCUUCAUGAGUUUCUUGGAGUGUAUCCCACAUUUCUUUGGCAGUUUUGCAAUUUGAUACCCUGAAAAACUCAUCAGCACUCAAAGCAGAAACUAUUAUGUUUUUGGCUUUUGCAUCAUAGCCAACUUUUUUUUUAUCAUCAUCAGACCAAUCAGCUCUUGGUUUCUUGAUAAAUGAUCCAUCAGUGCCAGCAAGUUUAGGCACAUAAGGACCAUUUUCUACUGCAUCUAAGAUGUCAAGCCCACUUGCCUCUAGAAAGAUAAACAUUCUUUCUUUCCAAUACAUGUAAGCAGACCCAUUAAAGGCACCUUCACCCAAGAAUUCAAUAGAAGUCAUUUUCUUUUUGGGAACUAGUCUAAAAGAUCAGGCUCUUGAUGCCAAUUGUUGGUAUUAAUGACCUCUAUCCUUAGGAUGUUUUAUACAAUAUUUUAAACUAGAUUAUCUAAUUCUUUCCUAAGUGAUGAACUUAAUAUCAAAACCAACUUGUUUAAUAUUAAUUCCAAUUUAACAGUAAAAGAUUCAAAAAAUUAUUCCAAACUAAAAUUCAAGAACACAUGCAAUAUCAAAAUAAAGAGUCUAGAGAAAGAAAAUUGUGCACCCUUAAUUUUUAAACUGGUUCGACUACCAGUCCUAGAAUCAAUCACCGAUUCUAGCCUUUAUUAGAAAUGAUUUGAGUUUGUUUACAGACUUUCCAGCACCUCACUGCCUAUACAUCCAACUCAACAUCAAUCUUCUACAAACACCAAUCUAUCCUUAAGAACUACUCGCCAAACUCUAACAAGAUCAGAUUGAGACCUCUUUUAGAUGAUCACACACUCUAAAAGAUGAUCACCAGUUUCACAAUACUGGAUUUUUCACACACUUUCUUUUACAAAGAUAUUUCUUGCAAAAAGACUCAAAACUCUUGAUUCAACCACAAUCAAUCUCACACAUAAUAUUUGCCAAUGAAGUUUGUGAGUUAUAACAAUUUCUCUCAAGGUGUAUUAUUUGAAAAGUUCAGUUCUUUCAAUGUAUUUUGUAAAAGAAAUUGUUAUGAAAAUUGUGAUUGAUUUCAAUUUAUAUAGUUUUUGAAAAACUCAGAUAAAUCAAUUUCCCAAUCGAUUUAUUAAUGUGUAUUCCCAGCUUAAUCGAUUUCCCAAUCAAUUUCACGUUUCUUGUUUUUCUUUAAAUUCUUGAAAACAGAUGAACUAAUCGAUUUGCUAAUCGAUAUUUUUAAUGCAUAAAUCAUAACUUUGAUGCUCAGUUCAUCUUCGAGUCAAUUGAGUGAUCGAUUUAUAUUUGUUUUGUUCAAAGUGUAAGAUCAAAUAAUCGAUUACUCAGUCGAUUCAUGUUUACUAACAUAAUCGAUUUGGCAAUGGGCUAAUGUCUCCCUGUAACUCAUAUACUCAACCAAAUCGAUUUGCCAAUCGACUGAUUUCUCCCUGUAACUCAGUCACUUAGUUACAAUCGAUGUGCCAAUCGAAUAUGUAGUAUGUCUCUGAUAAAUGAUAAGCUGAUUCAUUUAUGCAAUCGAUUAUCCAAUCGAUUUUGUUUAAUCACGGAACACAGGUCUGAUAAAACAUUUUUAAGUAAUCGAUUUGCUAAUCGGUUAUCUCAGUGAAAGUUUUGUUUUGUGAAUCAAACAAUCGAUUAACCAAUUGAUUAGUGGGAAUCUUGUACCUCAAGAAAGUAUAUCAAUCGAUUGUCCAAUCGAUUCCCUUUGAUCAUAGAACACAAGUCUAAUAUAUUGGACCUUAAGAAAAGUAUAUCAAUCGAUUGCCUUUGAUCAUAAAACACAUGUCUGAUAUCAGCCUUUAAGUAAUCGAUUUCCUAAUCGAUUAACUUAGUUAAAACUUGGUUCUAUAACUCAGAAAAUCGAUUGCCCAGUUGAUUUCCCAAUUGAUUGAUUAAAGUACUUAUUUUAUGAUUUCAUUUUUAAUUGGCAAAUAUUAGAUGUGUGAAAUCAUAAUGAUGAAUCUAACUAAUACACUAUGAACACUAAACAUAUUUAUACAGAAUCUUCAAGCUUUGCAUGAUCCAAUCAAUCUUUGCUUGAUUGCUUGAGAUCCAAGUUUUGUCCAGGUUUUGUUUGAUUCUUUCCUGAAAUGUAUCUCAACUCAAACUAUUAGAUUUAUCAAAUAAUGCAUAUACAUUGUAUGUUUGGGAGUUACAUCAAAAUCACAGAGGCAUAUAUCUUACAAUCUCCCCCUUUUUGAUUAAAUGACAAACAUACAAUUUAACUUUGAGUUUUACAUUUCAACAUUAGACCUUAACUUUAUAAUAAUCUUUAUUUAAACUCCCUUUGAAUUUUAGCAUUCAUAAUUCAUUUCAAUUUCAGAUUCAUUCUUAUUUAAACUCCCCCUGAAUUUUAGCAUUCAUAAUUCAGUAUUCAUAAGAUAGCAUAAGCACAAGCACAAGUUAAAUUCAUUAUCCCCAUUUGUCAUUAAAUUCAAAAAGAAAAUACAAGAGAGAAUAAAAAAUUUACAAAACAAUAAGGAAAACAGAAAUCCUAAACUCUAAUCUAGGGCUGCUCCUGAUUAGGGGGGGAAAGAGGUUCAUCAUCCUGAUUGGCCACUUGUGUGCCAAUGUCAACAAUGUCCUCAAAGGACAUCUUAAGACCUAAAUGUUCUUGGAUGGCAUCAACAUCCUGAACAAUGGAGUUGAGAGUUGUCUGGAGUCGCAUUAGGGAGGCUUCCACCUUGGCAUUGUGUCUAACUUGGGACUCCAUAAAUUCCAGCAACUUGGCUAACACCUCAUAUUGGGGUUCAGCUUGUUCAGGUUGGUUGUGCCCUUGUCCAAAUACCAUUUAUCCUUUUCAACUGCAUUUGGUUGACAGUUGAUUCCCCAAAAAUCAAAGUGGUUUUUAUAGAUUCUUAAUUGACAAUUGAGAUUUUAAAGUGUCUCAGAAUCUUUGUGAUAAGUUGAGGGUAGGGGAGCAUUUGUUUUCCUUGUGCUGACUCUAGCAUGUUAGCCAGCACAAUCCAGGCCCAACUCUUCUUCAGUUCCUUGUAAAGGCCCCAAAGAAUAGUGAUAUCAAGCCUUUGAAUCACAGCAUGAUUCCCUGAUCUAGGUACUAACAUCCUGGUUAGCACAUACAUCAGCGAUCUGUGCUGAAUCUUCAUUUGACCAAUGGGAAGAGAGAUGCCUUCCACAAAUCAUUCAACCAUUAGGUCUUGAAUUGUUGUGUGUCUGUCCACUGAUGUUUCGCAAGCAUCAUCAGUGGAGUCAGGAUUGGUCCUGCCAUCCACAGCUUCUCCAUAAAAUGGCAGUCCUGACAGCCUUGAGAAUUCUCUAAAGGUCAUGGAGAUCUUCUUUCCUUUCACUUCAGACUCAAAUCCAAAAGUUGUGAGUGUGAAGUUGGAGUAGAAAGCUCUAAUGAGCCUUGGAUAGAUUUCUAGAGAGCAGGAUAGAAAGUCUACCAAACCAUGAAAUCUUAAAUGGUUUUGGAAUGUGAAGCCAUUUGAAUCAAAAUAGGCAAAACCCAGAGUUCUUGCCUCAUGGAUUUUCCUUUUUAAGAAGGCGGGUGGAAGAACAACGUCUUCAACAGGUUUGCCUUUGGGAGGCUGAAUCUUCUUUGGCUGGGGGGAAGGAAUAGUUUUCUUCUUUUUCUGGGUUGGCCCCUUCAUGGCAUCCCCCAUUAGUUUUUCAGAUUGAGAAACCUUCCUCUUUUUUGUUGUUCCUUGAUCAGUUGCAAUUGCCUUUCCUUUAUCCUUUGCUAACACCUUAUGAGUAGGUAUUGAGACUCUCUUAGCAGGAGGGGAAAGAGGUGGAGGAGAAGGGGUUCUUCCACUAGAUGUUGAGGAAGAAUCUAAGGAAAUAGAUUUUGAAGAAGAUGAUUGAGGUUUCUCACUAGUCUGUUUUACUCUAGCCAUUGUAGAGAUUUUGGAAGUUUGAGUGAUUUGAGAAGAUUUGAGAAGGAUUGAUGCACAGAGAAUUCGAGUUUGGGAGAGAUAGAUAGUGAAAAAUGUGAAAUGAUUGUGAAAAUGGGUUGAGAAAUCGAUUUAGGGUUUUAUAUAACCUCCAACGGCUAGUUAUUUUUUGCAACAGUCACAUUUCAAAUCGAUUCCCAAAUCAAUUUCGUAAGUGAUCCUUCAAUUGAUAAAUCGAUUUCCUCAUCAGUUCAGAAAACCUUCUCAUAGCAGCAGCGAUUUCCAAAUCGAUUAUUUUGAAUAUAUUGACCAUACAGGGAUUUCAAUCGACUUCCAAAUCGACUUAUUUUGGCUCAGAGUUUUAGAAUUUGAUACAAUCGAUUACCAAAUCGAUGCUCGUGUUUGAGGUUGGAAAAUUUCUCAAAUCUUUGGAUUUCUGAGAGAAGUAAUCGAUUAUGCAAUCGACUUUUUAAAACAAUUUUCCAUAUCCUCAAUCGAUUCAUCAAUCGAUUGUAUAGUUUGUCAAAUCUAUAUUGGUUCAGCACUGGUUCCUAACACAGAUUACCAAAUCGAUUAUGAAAUCGAUUGUUGUGCUUUUUAUUUUGACAAAUGAGAAACUGUGGAGCAUAAAUCGAUUCCUAAUUCGAUUUUCAUAAUUUUGACACAGGAUAGUCGACCUGCAAAUCGACUUAUCUAUUGUAAAUUAAGAAAUUUAGAGAGCACAUCGAUUUCUCAAUUGAUUUUCAACAGAUAUCAUAUUUCAUUUUGAUCUAUAAUACCAAGUUUCAUUCUAAUAUAGAAGAAACUUUCCUUGGGUAGGGCUUUGGUAAAUAUAUCAGCUAAUUUAUCAGAUGUAUUAAUAUAUUCAAGCAUGAUAUUACCAUUUUGGUAUUGAUCUCUAAUGAAAUUAUGUUUAAUCUCUAUAUGCUUUGUUCUUGAGUGCAUAACAGGGUUCUUUGUGAUAUUUAUGGCACUAGUGUUGUCACACAUUAUUGGCACAGUUCCAAGAUCAACACCAGAGUCAGAAAUGUGUUGUUUCAUCCAUAAGAUUUGUGCACAACAACUUCCAACAGCUACAUAUUCAGCCUCAGCUGUUGAAAGUGCCACACUAUUUUGCUUAUUGCUAUGCCAAGAUACAAGUGAAUUCCCUAAUAGAUGGCAAGUACCAGAUGUACUUUUUCUGUCUAAUUUGCAACCAGCAAAAUCAGAAUCAGAAUAGCCAACAAGAGUGCAAGUUGAUCCCUUAGGAUACCAUAAGCCUAGAUGUUUGGUUCCCAAUAGAUAUCUUAAUAUUCUUUUGACUGCACUUAGAUGGGAUUCUUUAGGAUUGGCUUGAUAUCUUGCACACAUGCAGACACUAAACAUAAUGUCAGAUCUACUAGCUGUAAGAUAUAAUAAAGAUCCUAUCAUGCCUCUAAACAUGGUCAUAUCCACAGAUUUUUCCUUUUCAUCUUUAUCUAAAUGACAAACUUGACUCAUGGGUGUAUCAAUGGGUUUAAAUUUAUCAAAGCCAAACUUCUUUAAAAGAUCAUUACAGUACUUGGUUUGACUUAGGAAAAGACUAUUCUUGCUUUGAUUGAUUUGAAAUCCUAAGAAGAAGGUUAAUUCUCCCAUCAUGGACAUUUCAAAUCUUUCUUUCAUUGUAUUUUCAAAUUCUUUAAAAUUAAUUUAAAUAAAUUUCUCAUUUUUUAUAAUUAUUUAAAAUUUUAAGAUAAAUAUUAAAUGUUUUAACAAAAUAAAAAAUUAAAAGGCUUAUUAAUUUGCAAGGAAUAAAUUUCUUGGAGAAUAAUUGAGUGAGACAGUGUAUUUUAAAUUUGAAGAUAUACGAAGAAACUUUGUCUUAAAAAACAUUUUAGAAAGGAAAUGAAUUUUGAAUUUAAAAUUUGUGAAGAACUUGUUCUUCUUCUUGUACCUAGCAAACACAUGUGUUUCAUUAACAAAAUACUCCUAUAUACAAAAAAAAAAUUAUGAAAUAAAGAUUAUUAACCUUAGCCUGGUUGAUUCAUUUUAAAAAAAAAUGUUUAUGACACUUAUUAGUGUUUUAAAGUUUAAAGAUAUAAGUUUUUAACUGCAAAUUUUUAUUUCAUUUCUUUAAAAAUUAAAAAAUAUUUUUUUAAUACACAAUUAUUAUUUGAUGAAUAUUUAAUAUUUAUCUUUUAAGCAUAAAUUAUCAUGAAAAAUGAAUGGGGUGACAACGUCUCAUAUAAUAAUAAAAUAAAAUAAACAAAACCAAGACGCUAUGAUUCACUUUUUAAAAAUUGAUUUUGAAUUCAAGUUUUUAAAACUGUUUUUAAAAAUUAUUUUGUAUUUAAUGAAUUUAAAAACUAUUAAAAAAAAAGUGAAAGAGGAAUUGCUUUUCAAUUUUAGAAAAAGUGAAAAUAUGGGAAAUUAGUGAAUUAACUGGUUACUCUAUAAAUAUAUAAAAUUUAGUUUCUAAAUUUUACAGAAUAGUUAAAUAAUCCGUCAAUUUGCUGUUAAGAUUUUCAUCACUAUCACAUUCCCUGUGACUGUCAUAACUUAGAUGGAACGCUUUUUUAGUCGUAAUUUUUUCACAUAAUCUAUGUUUAAUUUUUUAUAACAAUAAUAAUAAUAAUAAAUAAAUAAAUAAACUCACAAUUGUUUUCUAUUAAAAACUAUAUAUAUUGUUUUAAUUUUUCUACAAGAAUAUAUAAGAGCAAAUGUACUGCUUGUUAAACCAUUUAAUGAAAAAGAUUAGGUUUUGUAUAUGUAAUAUUAGAAAUAAUUAUAAUUUGUAUAUAACUAAAUAUAAAUAAUCAUUUUAACAUAUGGUUUGAAAUGGAAUAUGUCUGUAUAAUAAAUAUUUUCUUUAAUUGUAGACAACUAUCACAUUUAAAUUUUUAUUUCAAAACUAAUACUUUUUAUUUUUUAUUUAAUAAAAUUAAAAUUAAUGAUGAGUAUUUCUUUACUAUUCUACCGUGACAUUUUAUGACUAUUUAUUUUUCUAAACUAUACUUAAUAAGACAGGUAAUGAUUUUUUUGAUUAAAUACAAAAGUAUUAAAAUUCAAUUUAUAUGCGAAUAAAAUAUUUUUAUAAUAUAAAUCAAUCAUAAAAUUUAAAUUAUAAAAUAUUUUUUAAUUUAAGAUACCUACUUUAAAAGUUAUGCCUAUUCCUUUUAAACUCAUAUAUAAUAAACAUAAUUUAAUUAUUUUAUUUGUUUGAUACUUAUAUAUAAUAAAACAAAAUUUAAUUAUUUUAUUUGUUUGAUAAGUAUAUCCUAAUAAAACAUCUUUAAAUUGUUACAUUUAGCAAGUCAUGUAAAUAAAAGUUACGUCUCAUCAAAAUUAAAAAAUAUUUUAAUUAACAUGAUUUUAUUUUAUUUAAUGUGUUUGAUUAUUAAAUAUGAAAUUAUUAAAUAUCAUAUUAAUUCCUAUUAAUUCACACUAUAACAUUUUAUUUACCGUGUUUAACACUAUUUUCUUGUAUAACUGUUUGUUUGUCUAACAAGAUAUUAUUUAAUAUAAAAAUACUCAUGUAUCACUAACUUUUAUUUUUUAAAUUACUUUAUAAUAUUAGGAGCGAUGCCAAUUUUCUAUCGCAUGUACACCAUUAUAAUUUCUAUUAUAGUUCAUGUACAAUAUUAUAAUUAAUAUUAAUUUUAUUACUCAAUUAAGUUUAUGUAUUUAUUGAUCGAAUUUAUAAUUUGAAAAAAGUAAUUUAAUCUUAUAAGUUUAUAAAAUUUUAGGUAUUGAUAGAUAAUAAAUAUGUAAUACAUAAAUAUAAUGUGGUUCAAAUUUAACAUCAUUUGGUAUUACUAACAUAUAUAAUAUGUAUGCACAAUGAACUUUAAUUUAUGAUACAUGAAUAAUGAAGGACAAUGAAUUUUUAUGAUACAUAUCAAAUUUAAAUAACUGUAAAUUUUUUUUAAUUAUAUGUAUGCAUAAUGAACUUUAAUUUAUUUAUAUAUGUAAUUUUAUUUUUAUUAUAAUAAUAAUAAUAAUAAUUUUAUUUUUAUUUAAUUAAAACAUUGAUUCUAUUGAAAAUUAUUUUAGCAAAAGUUUAUUAAUAGAAAACAUGUGUAUUGAUAGGUUUUAAACUAGUAAAAUAUUUUAUUAAAUACUUAAAAAAAAUAUAGAGAAUUUGGAUUUGCAAAUAGUAUUGUUUGUGUUGAAAAAUUGACAAUAAAAUAAAUAUUAAAUAUAUUUUUGUUAAAAAAUGUAAUUCACCAAAAAAAAAAUAGUAUGAUAAAUUCGUAUGAUUACUAUCUACAUUAUAAAAAUAUAUAUUAAGUAUACUCGUGAAUUUUUUGAGAUUCAUUAUUUAUAUUGUAGAUCAAACAAUCUACUUACUUGAUAGAAAUAUUUGAAUAAUAUAACACAUACAAAAAAAAAUUGUCUUGAAAAACUUAAAUCAUUCUAUGAUAUUGAGUUGAAAGCAUCUUGAAAUUUAUCUAAAAGAGAUUGAUUCUCACAAUUUCCAUGAUAAAAUUAUUUUUGAAGAAUUAAAAAUCAUUACCGAUAUUUUAACAAUUGAAUGAAAAUUAAGAUUUGUAAUAUUGAGUUAUUUGAUAACAUUUUAUUGUUUUCAUAAUGUUUACAUAAUUUAUACAAUAAUAUUAAUGGUCGGGAUCCGUUGAAUCCGGUAAUUCUAAAAUUAAUUACUUCGCUUAAUAACUCAUUAUAAACGAUAAAUUAUAUUAGUUCAACUAUUAAUUAUUAAUAUAAUAUAUUAAUUAUCAAAUACACAAAAUUGUAUAUCAAUAAAAAAGUUGUAGUUAUAUAAUCUAAUGAUCGAUAUUUAUUUAUAUUUUUUUAAAAUUUGUUAUACAUUGAUUUAAAAUUAUUUAAUGAAGUAUCAAAACGUUUUAAUUUUUUUAAAAAAAUUGUUGAAAUAUCAAAACGUUCUAUUAAAUAAAAAAAUUUGAUUUUACUGUUAAAAUUAUAAAAUUUAUCGUUUAUAAAAAAUUAUUAAAGAUAAUAUUUGAUAUCAAUGUUUGAAAGAAUUAUUAAAGAUAAUAUCUCAUUUCAAUGUUACUUCCGAAUUUACUUAUACGCCCCUAUAUACACCACCUAAAAUUGAGACGCACAUGGUGUAUUUUACUAGAUUUACACUACUAGAAGUUGGGAUUUGAAAAAAGAAAAUAUAUAUAUAAAAAUGAACAAACAUGAAAGCCCAAUGAUAAGUCACCAAAAUUUUGGCCACGAUUGCUGGUAAGAGAAAAUAGACCAAAGUGGUUGACGGGAAAGCAGAAAAGAUAGCAGCUUCCUACUAAUAUAUACAUUCAUAUAAGUAGAGCAAAACAUAUUGAUAUAGGGCUGCAUUAUAUCACAAUCCUUUAAUUUUAGUUAGUCUUAAUUAAAACGUUGUAAGAUUGUAGACGGUCUAAUUACGCCAUCUAUAUAACUUAGAUUAUGUUUUUGUAAACAAUUUAAUUUUCAAUAAUAAUAUUGAGGUUAUUCAUUAAUUAUUGCUUUAACUAUAAUAUGGUAUCAAUUGAUAUUUUCAUAAUUUAUCUCCUUUCGUCCCCAUCCAAACUUUCUUAAUUUCCUCUCAACCCUAAAACUUAAUUUCUUGUCUCAAUUUAUCCAUGGCGGCAUAAUCUGAUUUUGAUCACAAUUCCGCCAUUCAUUUUUCCAAUGAAACAAAGAUGAAAAAGAUGAAACCCAAAAUUCUCAUAACUCUUAUUAUCUUCACCUCGGGCGUCGUUCUUGUUUCCCCACCUCUGAACGACACCAACUACUACAACUGGAGCAAAUUAAUCGACGAAAUGCGCUCUCUCUUUCAAAAGCAAGCUCGCUUACAUCAAUGGCAGUUUAUGACAACCACCGUAAAGGAAUUCAUAUUUCGAGUUGUGGAAUCAGUGUAAUAACAUGGUCCUUUCUUGGAUCACUAGGACCUUGUCGCCUAACAUUGCUUAGAGCACGUUUUGCCUCGACAGUACCUAAUAACUUUGGUUCAAUCUUGAAGAUCACUUCACGAUAGGUAAUCACUUUCAUUUUUGUGGUUUACUCAAAGAUUUGCACUCGAUCAAACAAGAGAAUCGUUCUUUAUUAACCUAUUAUACUGAUUUGAAUAUUUUAUGGGAUGACUUAGAGUUUGUACGACCUACCCCUUCUUGUUCUUGCCCUGCUCGUUGUACAUGUUCUCUAAGCUUCGUUGUACAACGAAUACAUAAUUUGUUUUCUUAAAGCACUCAAUGACAACUACAAUAAUGCUCAAACACAAAUUCUCCCUUUACCAUCAUUGAGCAAAGCCUUUUCCCUUAUUGUUCAACAAGACUCAACUUCUACUCUAAAUCUUAACCCUAAUUUUAUUUCUAAUAUCACUUUUUUUUUCUAACUCUGCUAUUUUUAGUAUAAAUUUUGGUAAUUCUUAAUCCUCCAAAUGUUAUGUAGUAAUUGAAACAAAACUAAUCACAUUGUUGAAAACUGCUAUUUUAAACAUGGAUUUCCUCCCGUUUACAAAUCCAAGACUUAAAUCACCAAUGAAUCUUAUGGUGAUGGGAAGAAAUCACAACUUGCAAAUUCUUCUGUUAAUGACUCAAUCACAAAGGAAGAUUAUCAAUUCUUAGUCGAUUUGCUAAAAUCUUCAAAAGAGGUAGGUUAUAUCUCAUCCACUAAUCUUCAUGUGAUUUAUAGUAUUUUCAAGACAGAUAACAAUUACCAACCUCAAGAUAUAUGGGUAUUGGAUUCUAGUAUACAUCAUAUCAUGUGUGCCCUAACAUUAAGGCUUUUUCAACUAUCAAUUAAUAUAUUAUAAUUUAAUAUAAUUUAAUGAUAAUACUCUGUGAAUUAAAAUUUAAAUAUAAAUUUAAAAUUUAACAUCGUAUAUAUAAGAAACAACCUAUCUCGUGCAACGAAUUCAUAUACUAGUUUUUUUUUUAAUAUAAAAAGAAGGUCCUCCAAAAAAUUUAAGAGAGAUAGUCCUGUCAAAAAAUACUUCAUUUUUUUUUUUCUUUUUACAAAGAGAUGUAAUUGUAUCCAUAAAAAAGGAUAUCAUUGUAAAAUAUCUUUUAAUCUAAAGAAAUUAAAAAUACAAAAGUAUUUAAUUUGUUAUCAUUUUAUUUGUGGAUAUCUUUAAUCACGUGAAAACUAAAAUAAGAAGUAACAUUAAUAAUUUGGAUUUUUCAUUUCCUCGUUUAUUCAUAAUUUUAACAAUAUAUAGGUUUUUAAUUAUGAUAAUAUUUAGCAGCAACAUUAUCAUAAAUCUUCUUGAGAAAACAAGAAUCAUAAACAAAUAGCCUUGUAACUAUAGUAAAGGGAUUAUGGAUUAAAAGUAACAACAUUUAAUCUAUAUCAGAAGUAUAACAGAUCACUUAUAAUUAAAAUUUUUAAUAAUGUUAAUUUAAAGUUAUAUGUGUUAAUAGAUGCAUUAAUAAAAACCACAAUUAAUAUUAUUGUAUAAAUUAUAUAAACAUUAUAAAAACAAUUAAUUUUUAUUAUAUAAUUCAAUAUAAUAAGAUUGUAAAAAUAUCUAUGAUGAUUUUUAGUUUUUAAAAAAUAAUUUUAUCAUCGAAAUUGUUGACAAUUAUCUUGUUUAGAUAAAUUUUAAAAUGUUUAUAACGUAGUUUUAACUUAUUAUAAAAAAUAUUUUUAUUUAUAACAUAUGUAAUGAAUCUUAAAAGAUAUAUAAAUAAAUUUAAUGUUUAUAUAAUGUAAUUAUAUACAUGGAUCCCGGGAACUCACACCAAUUAAAAAAAGGAAAAAAUAAUAAUAAUAAUUGUGUGUGAUUGGACGGACUUUAACAGGAGUAGCGGAAUUUUUGUUUAAGAUUUAAAAAAAAUAUAUAAUAUUUUAUCUUUUUAUCAUAAUAUUUUAAAAAAUAAUUUUAAAUAACAAAUUGAUUUAAAUAGCUUAUUUUAAAAUAUAAUUUUAACUAUUUUAUCUAUUUUCUACAAUUUUUUUGGAUAAUAAAAUUUUAAAAAUGAUUAAAAUAAAAAAUUAUUUUAAGAGUCUUACAUAAAAAUCAUUUUUAGAAUAUACCUAUUUUUUAAAAAAAUGUGAUUUUUAUUAAGUUAAUUAAAAUAUCUAAUAAUGAAUAUCUUAAUUAUUGAAUGUUAUUAUUAUUAUUUUUUAAUUGGUAAGAAAUGAAUCUAAAAAACUUCUACUAUUUUUAAGUAAAUUUUCAUAAAAGUAAUUUUAAAAAAUAUAAUUUCAAAAUUAAUUUUUUAAAAUUUUAAACAAAUGGAUCCAGUGAGAGAAGGAUAAAUCGGUUCCGAUGGUGAAUAUUAGUUAGCCAAAUGUUAAAUUUUUCGGCUGAAAUUUUAGUAUGUUAUUUUCAUUAUUGUGUUCGAUAUUCUAAUAAUUUCUAUUAGUAGUUUUUCUUUUUAUCAUAUUCAUAUAUGAUACUCAUUUUUGUUGAGAUGUUAUGUUAUUGUUUAGUUUUUCUCAUUUAAGGUGAUAAUUGUAUUUUUCUAGUGAUAAAAGAAAAACUUUUGAUUAUAUUCGUGAUUUUAUAUAAUUUGAUUAACUAAUCGUAGUUUUUAUAUUUGCUUUAAGAAAAUUUUCACAUUGAAAUUUGAGGUCUCUUAUAUACAUCGUUUUUCUCCUUUAUUGCUAUUAUUAUUGAUAUUAAUUGUAAUUAAUAAUUUACGAGUAGAAUAAAUAAAACAUUUAAUGACUUGCCGUUAUGCGUUUUGGCAAGGAGGACCGAUCCAAAAAUUUCAAUAGCUAAUAUCAUGGUUGUUUAGCAUUAAAAUUUAAACAAAAAUACAUAAAUUCAUAAACAACAAAAUUACGCUGAAAUCAUUAUAUAUCAUUAAGCAUUAAGUUAGGGAUUACAAAAGUUGAACCAUUGUAUAUCCAAAAAUCGAAAAAACCCUUAAUAUCCAAGUAUUAUAAUUGCUCUCUACUUGUUUUCAUAUUUCGAAAGUGUUGAGAAUGUUUUUCAUUUUUAACACUAUCAAAUAUUACUAUUAAUGUAUGUGAUCAAACAUUCAUUAAGAUUUUUAUCAUCUAUAUAGUUCUUCACAAAAUCUGCUGCCACAAACAAAAACAACUUUAACUUCACAAGUAAAUACAUCAUUAGAUAAGUAGUACAUUUUUUAAGUUUUUACAAAUAUUAUUGAAAGAUUACUUAUUUGUUUAAAUUAAAAAUAUUUUUCUAUUUAUAGCGUAUUAAUAGAAUAUAACAUUAAUUAAUCACAAGUAAAGAGACAUAAUAUAAAUCAAGAGUCAAGACAAAAACUAAAUCUCAAUUAAAAAAACAAAAAUAAAGAUAGCAACUUAUACAUCUCUUGGAUCUUUGUCUAGUUUCAAUAGAGCACAAAAAAUGACAUUUAUAAACAAGAAAGCUAGAAAGAUGAGAGCAUAUUAGAAAGGUUUAAUAGUUUCUUAGAUUUUUGUUAAGCUGCACAAUAAUUUUCGACUACUUAUUUCUAUUUUUAUUUUUUGUAACCUUUUAAACCCUCAUAAAUAAAUUACUCAACAUCGAAAAGAAGUUAAAAGUCCAAAUUUUAUUUCCGAAGACUCAAAUGAAACGUCCAUUCAAAUAAAUUACUCGUAUCUUUAUUCAUUAGUGAGAUUAUGUGGGGACAUUAAUGUAUUAAAUUAUCAUACUAUUGGUUUAAAAAAUAUUAAAACAGUGGGUCAGUAGUCCUGACUGAGUGAAAACUAUGCAGAUCCAUCCCUACGCUCUUGUCUCAAUAAAUUUAUUAUAGUAUUUUUUUUUUGAAUGAGAUGUUUUUAACAAAAAUACAUUCAAUAUUUAUUUAUUAUCGAUUUUUCAACACAAAUAAUAAUAUAUAUUCUUUGUAUUUUUCCAAUUAUUUAAUAAAAUAUUUUACUUGUUCAUAACAUAUGUCAAUACACAUGUUUUAUUUUAGUAAAAUUUUAUUAAAAUAUUUUUCAACAGAAUCAAUAUUUUACACAAUUAAAAUAAGAAUAAAAAAAUAUUGUCACUAAAAUAGAAAUAAAACGAGACAAAUGAACAGAAGAAAUAUUGAUCGAUUAGCAUAGACUUGCAAUGUGAGAUUUAUUUUAAUUGAUUAUAUAUGAAAGAGACAAAUAUACUAUCAAUAUUUAAAUUUAAUUCAAAUACUUUUAUAUUCAAUUAUUUCAUAUGAAAAUAUUUUAUUUGUUAUUUAUUUUGAAAUUUUUUAUUUUUUCAACUUUACAUAUAUAUAUAUAUAUAUAUAUACACACACACUUUUUUUAAUCAAUUUUUAAAAUAACAUUUAUAUUAAUUUUUGAAUUCUUUUGCAUAGUAUGCUGCAAAUAUAAAAAAAAAAUAUUAAAUAUGAGUACUCUUGAAUUCUGAUUGAAAUUUUAGUUUUGAAAUUAAUAUACAAAUUAGAAAUUUACUUUUAAAUUAAAAAUUUAAGUGUUACGAAUUUUAAUUAAAAAAUAAUAAAUAAACCUAAUUUAAUUUUCAAUAUAAUAUUAAUCAAUUGUGUAUAUUUUAUAUUAUUUUAAUAUAAUUCAUUCUGCAUAUAUAUAAUAAAUUAUUAUUUUUUUAUAAUUAUUUAAAUUUGACAUGCAUCAUUAGAAUAUAUUAUCCUCCAUUCUCCAUACAUUAAAUAUGACUUUUAUAUAUGUCAUGUGAUCAUAGAUAUUAUAUGUAUUAGUAAUAUAAAAUUAUGUAAAUUUGAACCUCCAUUAUAUUUAUGCAUUACAUAUUUAUUAUUUAUUAAAUAACAUUUUUUUAUAAAUAAUUGCAUAAAAUUUUAUAAUUUUAUUUAUUUAUUUGAUAAAUUAUAAAUUUGACAAUAAACACUUAAAUUUAAAUAAAAAAUAAGAUCAAUAUUAACUAUUUUUUCUUAUAUCUCAUUUCUCUUUACUUUUUAUUUUUUAUUUUUAUAUAUUUCUCUUUUUCUUAUUUAUUUUUUGCAUACACAUAAAAAAAAAUAAAUGUACUUUUUUAAUAUUCAAACACAUUGAUAUUAGUUAAAUAUUUUCACGUGCUAUUACAGAAAAAAUUGACGCAACUUUUAAAAAAUAUCAAAUAUAGGCGUGUAAUUUUAUUUGUUGGAUAUGAAAAGAAAUUCAUUAUAUAUAAUUGUAAUUCUUUUCAUACUAAUAAUAAUAAUACUUAUAUAUAUGUAUAAUUUUUUUUUUAAAUGUAAUAUUUUUGCACAUUUAACUACAAUUUUGGUACUCGAGAAGUGUUUACUAUAAAUGACUUUUUUUUGUGAUAUAUUAUUGUUAAAUCUUUCAAUAUUAUUAAGUUAAUAACCAUUUAAUUUUUUAAGUUAACUAUUAAAUAUUCAAUAAGAGGUUGAGAUAAAUUUAUAAAGAUUACAUGUGAAUUAAGAAUUAAAUGAUUAAAUUAAUAAAAUUUUGAGAUUUUAACCAUGUUGAAAUAACAUAAUAAAAUAUUCAUUUAUUUUACUGUAUUAAUAUAUUAAACUAUCAAUCAUCGUGUAUUCAAAAAAUAAUCAAAGAUUUAUUUCUUAAAAACAUCCAUCAAUAUCAAAAAAUAACACUGCAUUUUUCAUCUAAGUAUUUAAUUUUAAUAUUUAAAUUAAUUUAAAAAAAAUUAGAAUGGUUUCAAAAUAAAUAAUAGUUGCAGUGGAUUGAUUAAAUAUUAAUAUUGAUUUUAAUUUUUUAAAAUUUAAACUCUUUAUAUAUUACAAAAUUUAAACCGAUCCAUUAUUUGUACAUAUCAUAUAAUCCAUACAAACAAACAACAUGGUCUACAAGUUAUAUUCUAACCUUAAAGUAAAAAAAAUAUUUUUUAAUUAAAUUUAAAUAUAAAAUAUAAUUAAAUGUCAAUUAAAAAUAAGAUAUAUAAAAAAAUUUACAUUGCGUGAAUAUUUUUUUAUUUUGAUUUUCAUAAUAUAUUUUUGUAGACUACGAUUGAUUUUCAUAAUAUAUUUAUAAACUAUGAAAUUACACUCACAAUCAUAUUCAUUUAAAUUUAAAUUUUGCUUUUAAAUGUUUUAGUAGAGAUUACCAAAAACAUAAUUUUAUUUUUCUUAAAAUGGAAAUAAAAUACAAAAUCUUUUUUAAUUAGAUUAGAUUAAAUUAAAAUGAAAUUCAUAAUAAUAAUAUUUUUUUUCUGUAUCAACAAAAGGGAAUACUUGUUUGAUUCUCAAAUAAAAAAAAGUAAAAAUAUGAAAUUUAGAAGGGCAUACACGUAAGAUUUUUUUAGUCGCCAAACAAACAACAAAAGAGAAAGGGCGGGAAAAUACACAAGCAGGGUUGGGGCUUUUGUUACUACUCUCGCUGCCACAAAUCACAACUUCAGUUUGAACAGAGCUAAUCGAAAGAAUUUCACGACGAUGAACACUGACGGCCGGAAGUGGGACCGUCGAGAUAACAGAAUAUCCAAAAAGCAAAAACUUAUCCGCAGCGCCGAAGAAGAACUCGAAGUAAAGUUAGGGUUUGAUCUUUUCUCAGAAGGACAAAAGCGACUUGGAUGGUUACUCACUUUCUCAUCAGUAUGUUAAUUUCUGGUUAAUUUUUCUUGUGUGCUUUUGAUCUAUCACUCGGGGUUUUCCUUAUUUCAAUAUCAAAUUGGUGAAUACACGAAGGUGUAACUCAGUUUUAGUUAUUUCAAUUUCAAAUUGAUGAGACAAAUGUGAAAUUGAACUUGUUGGUUACUUGUUGCAAGAAAUGUUUAUGUAUGAAUGAUAUUUUAUUCUCAUAGCUUCCAUUCUAUUAGCUCGACAUAGAAUUGCGCUUUUGCUGCUUCACAUUUACAGCUACAUGCUAAGUAGCACUUACACAGUUCAGUUCUGUUGUAAGACAUGUGUUGGUGUUUGACACUGAACCAACACUAAUGCAUCUACUAACAUUCAAUCAUUUCUAUUUUCACAAAUUUUCAGGGGUGUCUAGUGUUGUGUCUUAGGGUAUGUUUGGGAGUUGGGUUUUGGAGGGUAGGAGAGGAGGGGAAAGGCUUAUUUUUCUUUUUCAAAUUAAGGAAGCUAUAAAAUAUUUCUUAAAAUAAAUUAAGUAGAAUUGAAAUAUUAUGUGAAUAUUUAUCAUAUUAUUUUUUCAAUUUUUAAAAAUAUUAAAUAUAUAGCAAAAUAUUGACUUAGGCCCCCAAAGCCCUUCUCUCCAAAAUGCAACUCCCAGAAAUACUUUUAGUGUUGUGUCUGGUCUACGUGUUUGUGUCCGUGCUCCAUUGGUUAUAUGUGAGAAUGGGAUUGUGCUUCUGGCUAUCUUUCUACUCUUAGGCUAAACUAUAACAUUAUAUGGUAAUUCAUUUUUUAUUGUUGUGAUUUUCCUAGGAUUAGAAGUUGAGUUUUCAGUUCUUAAUUAUGAAGUCACAACAAGUUGGUUUUGAUUUAAUACUUUAUUGGAAGGGACUUAAACAUGAUUUACCAUGCCUUGCAGUCGUCUUAUGAGGACGAGGAUACACGUAAAGCAUACAGUUGCGUUGAUCUUUACUUUGUCACACAGGUAAUUUCGGCUAAAAUGCUUCUCUAGAAAGCUUGAUUUUCUUACUAGUUUUUCCACCAAAAGAGAGGCCUGAUCUGGUAAAUAGAUUACUGAUUGGAGUCUACCUGCAGGAUGGGUCCUCAUUCAAGACAAAAUACAGAUUUCGCCCUUAUUUCUAUGUAGCUACAAAGGUGAGUGAGCACAUUCACCUGCAUGCAUGUACAAUGCCAUAGCAAGAUACUUGGUUUUAAGCUUGUUCAUGUGUGACUAUCCAAUCAUCUAUAUUCAUUGCUUUUACGAAUUUAUUUUGAUUCGGUGUUUAUUCUGUGACAACCAUCAUGUUGAUGGUCCUAAUUGUGAUUAUGUAAAUUUAAUAGAAUAAAAUGGAGAUGGAUGUUGACGCAUACCUGAGACGACGUUACGAAAGCCAAGUUGCAGAUAUUAAAAUUGUUGAAAAGGAAGACCUGGAUCUUGUAAGAAUUUUAUGCAUCUCUUAUCCGAUACAUGAAAAUCAAUACAACUUUAGCAUUGAUUAUCUGUUUUCUUGGUUUUUAUGGUGUAACUCCUUCAGACUUUAAGACCGUUAAGUCAAAAUGGUUCUGACACAGUCUGCAUUGAAGUUCAUUUUGCUUUAAUCAAUAAGACCAUGCAUAAUUGCUUACUUUGAAUUUGCUUAUAAAUGGACUCUGAAUUAUUUUCAUGGUUCUGAGCAGAAAAACCACUUGUCUGGAUUGACAAAAUCUUAUUUAAAGCUUUCAUUUGAUACUGUGCAACAACUGAUGAAUGUGAAGAGUGACCUGAUGCAUGUUGUUGAAAGAAAUAAAGCAAAGUCUGAUGCUGCAGAAGCCUAUGAGUCUAUAUUAACAGGGAGAAGGUAAAUCAAGUGUCACGGGACAAAAAAUUUUUAGAUUGAAGUUGCCUUCCUUUAACAAUGCAAUUUCAUUCUUUAGCUGUGAUUAUGUAAGUAAAUUUUAACUUACUUUUUUACCCGAUCUGAUCGUAGCCUGCUUAUUGCUUAACAGAGAACAAAAACCUCAAGAUUUUCUAGAUUGCAUAAUUGAUCUUCGCGAAUAUGACGUUCCUUACCAUGUUCGCUUUGCUAUUGACAAUGGUAAGUUUUGAUAUUUAUCCUCUUGUUUUAGUAUCUAUUCUAUUAUCCCAUCUUCCAUUGUCAUGUUGUAUUUAUAUUUAUCAUCACACUCUUGAUCACAUGUGACCCAGAUAUACGGAGCGGCCAGUGGUAUGAUGUCGGAGUGUCCAACGAUGGGGUUACACUUGAGAAGAGGACAGAUCUUCUACAGCGUGCUGAAGUUCGUGUUUGUGCAUUUGAUAUCGAAACCACAAAACUUCCAUUAAAGUUUCCUGAUGCUGACUAUGAUUUAGUUAUGAUGAUUUCGUAUAUGGUAGACGGGCAAGGGUAUUUAAUCAUAAACAGAGAGGUGAGGAUUAAUUGGAGGUGUUAAUGUUUGAACAAUCUCUUUCUUGCUGUUUUUUUUUUGGAAAACUCUCUUGCUUGCUACUCUGCCAUUAAUACAAAGGGUAUCGUAAAUACUUGUUGCAUCAGAAGUCUCUUAUCUUUAGUUUUCUGUUGAUAAGUAUUUUUUGAUUGCUCUUUUCUUUUCACAAGAGUUUAAUGUUAUUCAGGUAAUUUACCUGCUAGUGGUUGUAUGAUUCCCAAACACCUCUACUUUGGGUGCACAUGACGUUGAUCUCAAUAAAAUAUUGGGUUUUUUAUUCUAAAUUGGAGAUGUACAAGUAGAGAUUGGUAA